AAGCUAAGGGACCUCGUGCCAGUUUUGAUCAAUUGUUUCCAUGAAUUCAUUCCAUUGGUUCAUGCUACCAUGCAUCUUGACGCUCAAUCAUUCGACUGUAUGCUAUAUAUACUUCAGAGCAUAGAUCUUGCAGUCAGGUUCUUUGUCUAUGGGACUGGCAAGUCUCAACCAGGAUUAUGCUCAUCUAUACACCCUUAUGAAGGACCAGAUAUGACCAUGUGGGAUCAAGAUGUCUCACCUGUAGUAUUGAAGAAGUUGCUAGUUGUAUUUCCCCUUAACCAAAGACAUGACCUUUCUGAAAAGGUACAACGUUUCUGCAUCUUUUGCAAGUAUAUCUUUGCUCCUAAAGAGCUGCUUUUAAUUUCUAAAUUUCUCUCUCUCUUUUAAUCAAUGUCAGUCUUCUAAUGUAUUCAUUUUUAUAAAUUAAUACACAUAAUUUCAUAUCAUGGAAUAACAUUUCCAGACUUCAUUGGUGUCUUGCUGUGUCCUUGACAACUCUUGAUCCCAGAAGUUAUGGUGUUUCGGUACAGCUGCCUAAUUAGCAGCUAUAUAAGAUAGCGCAUUUCUUUUCUAGUAGAAUUUCUCCUGAACAUUGGCGUUCUUGCAUUCUCAAGUAUAUAAGAAAAUUCCUUCUUAAUUGUGCUUGCUGUUGUUGGAGCUAGGAAUUGUCUAAUAUAUUUAUUUAUUUUUUUCUGCUUGGCAGGAUGGCGAUAGAUAUUUCAUCUUGAAUGUCGUGAUUACAGAAAUAUUUUUACACUUAAGUGAAUGGAGCUAUCCUCCUCCUGAUUUGUUGGAAAUAUUUCUAGAAUUCAUAGAAAAUGCACUGUCUGGAAAGGUUUGAUUCUUGGACCUUUAUGUUCUAUGGGAGUUUGAUUUUUUGUACCUUCAAAAAUUUAUUCAACAAUUAUUGGUGAUGAUGAGCUCAACAUUGAAAAUUGAGAUAAUCAGGUUCUAACAAUACUUUCUGAUAUUGUGUUCGUUAUUCAUUCCAGUGUUCCAACACCCUGAACUAGCAUAAAAAAAGGAUAUAAAUACCAAUAAUUAUUAUUUAGGAGUAGUUCAAAAACAGUAACUUAUGUGGAGAUCUUUGUAAUGUUGAAAGUGCAAGUCAGGUUGUCUGCUUUUGUGGGGGGAGCUUCCAGCAAUUUGGUUAGAAAGUCUUUCACUGGUAAAGUCAAAUUUUGAGAAAAGAAGUCUGAUAUAUAAAGAAAAAGGCCUAACACCAAGGAACUUUAAACAGCCCUCUAGUUUCCUUAAGAGUGAAGAUAUCCCCAUGUGGUCAAAGUUAACAUCUUCAUUUUGGAGCUUAUACGCACUUGCAGGAAAUUUCCAUACCAGGAGCUUAUACCCACUUGAAAGAAAUGAUCUUACAGAAAGCCUUUCAACUUUUCUCUUGAUAUCUGGAGCCCGCUUGUUAGUUUUGGAAGAGUCACCCUCUAUUAUUAACUUGAUGUUCCUCAUAACACUAAUUUCUUAAAGGCCUUUAUGAAUAAGAAAGAGUGGAGCAAUGCUUCAGUUGCGUUUUGUGUGAGAUAUAUUUACCCUAUGGAGUGUUGAGUGUUUUUCCUUGUAUAGUCUAAUGUGGUGUACUAUAUCAAUAUAUAGAUCUCCUUGGUAUAUCGGAGAAAGUUUAUCCACCUCUUCUUUUGAUUAGAUCUUGUAAAUUUGGGAAUGAUUCCUCAUCUUUGACUUGUAAAUUUGGGGAAAAAAAUGUUUGUCUAACAAACAAAUUGAUGAAUCUUUGAAUCAUUAAACCCCUGUUCUUUGUGAGUUUGUGGGUUGUUUGAUAUGCAGUAAGAUGUGGGAAAGAGAGCAGGUUUUGGAGCUUUUGGGUUUUCUUUUGUUUUUGGGUUUUUGGUGACUGGCAGAAUUUACUUGAUUCCCUUGUGAUUAUUGCGUUGUUUCUCUUGUGAGAUUUUGGUAUAAUUCAUCAAUGGUUUCUUUUAUUUGUUCAGUUUUUGGAUUGUGUUUUCCUUUUACCAAUAUAUGGUUGUUGACAAAACAAGAAUAAAAUCUUUGUAGUUGGUCAAACCCUACCUAUCUGAAUGUAAUGAUUUUGACUGGCCCUGUGCUUGUAUUGCCCAAACUGUCUUAGUUCAGAAAAUUAAGCUCUGGUUGGGCAUAACAGGUUAGAAAUCAGGUCCGAUCAAGAUUGGAUUGAGCUUGUAUUAAUUUUUAAAUCAUCUCAACUUGCCAAGUUGCAGCUCUGGCUAUUCCCAAUCUUCAUUAGAAUUUCUUAAAACAUAUCGAAGUGGAAUCUCUUUUAGCUGUUUUAUUACCAAUAAUAAAAGGAGACAAGGAACAAGUAAAAUCACAAGAUUUUUCUAUUUCUUCCUUUACCAGAACCCUUAAAAGUGGCACAAAAAUGAAAUUGAGUGUCUUAAGCAGGAAUCAAACUCAGAUAUGCUUUACUUGGCUCCCAUUUGGAAAGAAUAAAACAUGAAUAUAGGAAAAAGAUCACUAGCCCAUUGCAUUUUUUUUGUUGGGCAUGAUACAUAUGUCUGGGAAUAGCAUCAUUUUUUGCUUCUCCUAGCUUGAAGACUCCUUGCUGCUAGGAAAAAGUACAAUGACAAUUUAUAAAAAGGUUCAAUGGUCUUUUUUGCUUCAAUGGAAAAUGUCUGGACAUAGCAAUUUAUUAGGUCUCCUAGCUUGAGGCAUAUAUUAGUGUUAUGGUGUACAACCAAUCAAACCAAGGACCAACUUUUUGGAGGAAGUCUCUUUCUACAUCACUUUUUGAAGGAAUAAACCAUGUUCCUAUUUGGCAAAAAACUGAAAAUAGAAUUUCAUGGGGUAGUUUUUUCAUUUGUUUCUCCCUUAUCCCUACUUCCCCUGAAAAGCUGAAGUCCUUUUCAUUUUUUAUUUUUUUUGGUCUUUUUAUCCUUGUUUUAUGAAAAUUUUCAGAAAUCUGUAUGGGUGGCUUAAAUGCAUGUGGGAAAAAUAGUAAAGGAUAAGGGGUGCAUGCGGCUUAAAUGGCCUUGCUGCUAGGAAAAAGUACAAUGACAAUUUAUAAAAAAGGUUCAAUGGUCUUUUUUGCUUCAAUGGCAAAUGUCUGGACACAGCAAUUUAUUAGGUCUCCUAGCUUGAGGCAUAUAUUAGUGUUAUGGUGUACAACCAAUCAAACCAAGGAUUAACUUUUUGGAGGAAGUCUCUUUCUACAUCACUUUUUGAAGGAAUAAACCAUGUUCCUAUUUGGUAAAAAACUGAAUAGAAUUUCAUGGUGUAGUUUUUUCAUUUGUUUCUCCCUUAUCCCUACUUCCCCUGAAAAGCUGAAGUCCUUUUCAUUUUUUAUUUUUUUUGGUCUUUUUAUCCUUGUUUUAUGAAAAUUUUCAGAAAUCUGUAUGGGUGGCUUAAAUGGCCAUGUGGGAAAAAUAGCAAAGGAUAAGGGAUGCAUGCGGCUUAUGAUUUUGGAGGAAAGAACAAAAGAAUGAUGCUUUGUUAGAAUUUGCAAUGACGUGUGAUUUUGUAAUUUAACAAAUAUGUGCCUCAAUGAUACAGAUCAGUAGUUACUAAGAUAAUAGUCAAAUAAACUUCUUUCUUAUAGGAAUAAUGUUUAUAAAUUGUUGAAGAUGAUUUCUUGCAUGGUUUUUUUUGGAAGAUUUCAUUUAUUAUUAAUAUAUUUGGAAGCAAUAGUCAAAAUAAGAAUUUAACAAAUAUGAAACAAAAAUAAAAAAUCAAGACUGUAAAGAGUGGGAAAAACUUAAAAAGGAAAAAUGAUUCAGCAUUAUAUUAUGGAUGACUUGUCCACUCUUUUAGGAUGAUCUUUUGCUGUGUGUUUUUUCAUGAAUAAUAUUUGCUGCUUUGAAUAAUCCUAUGAAUUGCUGAAACAUUUUGAUGUUUUCAAGGGAAAGGUAGUUUUUGUAAAUGGUUCAUACAUUUGACUGAAAAAUUACAUGGUGUUUAUUGUUUGGCAGACUAGCAGUGCUGCAGAGUCCGGUAAAGCAUUUCGUGAAAAGCAUUUACUUUCACUUCUUCCUUUCAUUCCCAAACUUGUAUCACGAGUUUCAAGAAAUUGGAGUUUGCGUAUUCUUCAGGUUCAAUUCAUUCUUCUUGGAAUAAGUUGACUACUAAGGGCUUGUUUUUAGUGAAAUACUGUGAUCUAAUUCUCUCUCCCCUAAGGAUGAAAAUGUCGGUUUUUAUAGAUAUAUCAAUAAUUGAAUUAUAUUGGGAUAUAUCCAGAAAUAUCAAUGGAAAUUUUUACAAAAAAAUAUCAAUAUGAUGACAAUUAAUCAAAACUCAUAAGUAUGUUAGGGAAAAUACCAAAAAAUAAUAAAGAAAGCAAUAAUACACAUAUUAAUGUUGUUUUAUUGAAGAAAAUGAUGAAUGUAUGAUAAAAUUUGUAACAAUUGACAAUGAUAUGUAAACCUUAAAACACAUUAAUACUAAAAUGAUGGUCUAUUUAAUUUAGUUUUAUUCAAUGAUAUAAAAAAAAUGAUAAUAUAUGUAUGGUUUUUUUAAAAUAUAUUUAUACUUUUUGGUCUUUAAUUAAUAUACAAAAGGUAUAAAGAAAACAUUGUUACAAAAAUUAUCAUGAUUAGGAGUUUUCAUAUACUUAACAAUCAAUUAAAUGAAAUUUAAAAAUAAAAUAAUUGAAAUUUAUUUAUUUAUAAAAAAUUUUAAUUUAAUAUCUUGUUUUUCUCAUGCAUAUUUAUAUAUGUAUAGUUAUUAAAAUUAAUUUAAUUAAAGCUAAAGUCUAAGUAUAAAAUAUAUAUAUAGUUAUGUUCUUGCAUAUCUAAAAUGGCCAAGAUGCCUUGGUUAAACAUCUCAUGGUCUUCUGGGUAAGACCCAAGUUCAAUUCCUCAUAUCGUGGCUCUCUCUCUCUCUCUCUUUUAUUUUGUGAUUUUUUUGUGACUUUGACCAAUAUUUGGAUGGGUUGACCUAUGUCGACCAGUCAAACAAGGCAAUAAAAUCAUCGAAAAUUCCGAUAAAAUCAGGAUAAAACCAAUAAUAUCCAAAAAAUCGUUGAUAAUUUUAAAAAAUCGGUCAUAAUCUAUAUCCUACCCAUAUUUUGCUUCAGUGAAGCCUGAUACACGAAAUAUCACCUAUUUUUCGCAAUAUUUUCGUCCAUGCUCUUCCCUAUGAUCAGUGUUUGUUCAAGCACUGCUGUGGUUGUAUGGUUCUAGUCUUCUAUUCUCAAAGUUUUAUUGGUUCCUAAGCGAAUAAUGCUAAAUAAUUAAAAUUUUGAUUACAGGCAUUUACUAAAGCUUUCAAGGACAGCAAUCCAGAGUCUUCAGUGAAAUUGGCCUGCCUUUCUAUAAUAGAGGAAAUGCUAGUCCCUGUAAGCUAGUUCUGUACUUUCUCAGAAAAUUUGUUUAGAUUGCCUUUGUAUUUAUGAGGAAUAGUAAAAUGAAUAAUUUAUGUAUAUAAGAAUGCACCAUUGCCUCUUUCCGUGUAAUCAACUCAAAAUUAUCAUCCCUUUCUAUCCUUCCCAUUUAUAAUUAAGGAUUUUCUGUUCAUAUCACAGAGACAUGGCAUCCCAUCCCUAGAUGCAAGUGAUCCAGAAAUAUUAGGACAUCAGACGACAUGGAUAAGAGAGCUGCCUUUGUUGCUAAUCAUGUUGGGUGAUAAGCACCCAUCAUAUUCCAAGGUAUGUGUAUAUUUAUUACCUUUUUUUCUUGGUGUUGUUACUUGUUAGGUGUUGAUGGUGGUGUGGAGGAAAGUAAAAGUUUUUAGUGACAAAAAAAUGACUUUAUAGCAUAUGGAAAUCUAUAAGAAAGUGUCUUGGCUGACCCUUUUCAAGGUGAUUAGAAAUGUGCUACAACCAUAACCGUGUCUCUCCUGGAAAAAAAUUUGGCCUUUUCCUUUGCAGCCUGAGAGAUCCAAUCAAACUCUUACAUCCCAUCCUUGAUCUGAGGAGCAAACUUUCCUCAUGAAGCGGAUUGUUCUCCAAGGGGCUGAAAGCUUGGUGACCAUCUUCUUAGCGAUUGUUAAGCAAUCUCUUUCUUCCUUAGUCUAUUAAAGCCAGAAUGAUGAGCUUGUCCAAUUUCUUUGAGGACAGCAAUGGCCUUGGGGUCAAAUGAGUUAAAGCCCUUUGGCUUUGAGUUUGCUAACAACAUUCCUCUCAUAAUCUCUAAGGAUGACAAUUAUUUUAUAACCUACAAGGGGAAAUUAGGGCUCUACUUAUGAACACUGACCAAAACUGUGCUUCUCAUUUCUCUGAGCCACCUCCCAAUCUCUCAUAUGACCAGAGGUGUAGUGCCUUUAAAUUCCAUUCCAAACGGUGUUUAGAAAGCAGCCAAAAAGAGCAGUCCUAAUCUAAAAAAAUAUUCUUUAAUUUCUUGUCUUUCAUAUGGUUGAAACAAAAGCCAGAAAAGCGCAUAGCAUCUAUAUUUUGCAUUCAGGUUACCAACCUUUUGAGAAGGGCACUACCUGGGGAUAGAGAACACAUGUGUGCCUCCUGUUUCUUUAAGUGACCUCCCAGUGCUUCAUAGUGCACAGAAAUGGAGCUCCUUUAGGUUUUUUACUCACCAGAGCCCAAAAAUAAGCCAUAAAGAGAAUUCUAUCACAUAUUAGCUCACUUUGGUAAGUGCUUUUCUAAAAGAUUCUCUAAUUUCUUGCCUACCAUGUGUCUUAGAUGAAAGCCAGAAAUUUGACCACAAUAUUUUCCCCCAACUGUGUCCUAGAUGUUAGCUUUUUAUUUGGGAAGUAGCUUUUUUAUUUGGAAAGCUAUUUAGGAGAGAAUUCUAACUCUGGAUCAACUAAAAAGAAGGGGCUGGUUUUUACCAGGCAGGUGUUAUUUGUGUAAAGGGGAGGAGGAAUUAGGAAAUCAUUUGCUUCUUCACUAUCCCAUGGUAGCCAUGAUUUGGCAGCUUAUUUUGCUCUUUUUGGUAUUCAAUGGGUUAUGCCCUCUUCAAUCAAGGAAAUCAUACUUAGCUGGCAUGACUCUUUUGUUAGGAAGAAAAGGAUAAAGGCGUGGAAUGCGGACCCUUUGUGCUUAUUUUGGACCUUAUGGAAGGAGAGAAACAAGGGAGCCUUUGAAGAUACCAAAUUGGUGGACCAAGAUUUUUUUAUUUUUUUUUAUAGGUAAAUUUGUGUUCUAUUGGAACUUGAACCUGGAACCUCUCACAAUCCCUCCCCAUUCCAAAUUGGUUGACCAAGCUAUUUUAUGGUCCUUUUUGUACAAUUUUUCGGAAUAGGUCAGGGUGCAUGUAGGUUUUAGCUCAUGGUCUUUAUUUGAUUUCAUCGAUUGGUUGGGAUGUAAGUAAGGUGACGAUCUUUGUGUUUUCCCUUUUCUUUUUUGGCCGUAAUGCCUUGUAUACAUCAUGUAUACUUUCGGGUGGUCUUCUUUAGGCGCUCCUAAUACAAUUGCUUUUUACUUAUAAAAAAAAAUAAUUUUCCCGAAUUGUAAGCUGCUAAAGCGUGGCUCUUGCCAUGAAGCAAAAGUAGAAAGCCAAUCAAUGAAGUGUUCACUUGUCUCACUACUCUCUAUUCAUAAGAAGCAGAUGUUGGGGACAAAUUUUCUAGGGCCUCUAGUUUGAAGCAUGUUGUUACCAUUCACUUUAAGAGCAAGUGCCCACGCCAAGUACUAACCUUAAUAGGAAAUUUAAGGAGGAAAUCUAAGGAUCUAGUAUCCAUGGUCCAAGCAAAGAAAAAUGAGAUGAGGUUGUUAUUUUUAGGGGAACAAAUGUAAUCAACAAUGGAAGAAUAAAUAUUGACAUCUCUUAGAAUGUUAAGGAGGGAUGAUAUAUUGGAAACUGCUGUAUCAUUGAUAUUUAAAAAGUGGAAAUUUUAAUAGUCAGAUCCAUUAGAUGGAACCAUUGGAAGUCAUUUUUAGCACUGGAAUGAUGAUAUAAGAGAAGGGGGGGAGAAGUGUUGGUGGAAGAUUUAUCUUGCUGAUUAUGUAUCACACAUUCAUGCAGGAUGACAGAAUGAAGCAAAACCUUGAAAAACAAACUUCUAGAAACAUUGAGUUUCUCUUGCUGCCAAAUCUAGAAUCCAACUAUGGUGUUGAAUUUUGCACUUAAUCUUGAUAGCUAAAUGUUAGAAAACCUUUGCUUCCUUGAGAAAUCUCUAACCACUUUCCUGUGAGAUCCACAAUCCUUUUUUUUUACAGGUAAAAGCAAUUGUAUUAAGAAAGCCUGAUGUACACCUGAAAGUGUACACGUGAGAUCCACGAUCUUUGGGGGUUGUAUUACACAAUUUUAAUACCUAUUAAUGAUAGCAUGCAAUAUACAUCUGACUGCAUGGUAUCCCUAGUCUAUAUUGAUCAAAAAAAAAAAAAAAACAUGGUAUCCCUAGUCUAUCUGUUACUUCUCAUACCUGUCAGCCACUUCAACUAGACCCUAAAAUGAGUAAAGAAAGUAGAUGAGAUUUAGAAAUGCUUCAAUCGUUGGGCUUAAAUCUUUUCAAGACAAGGGAGCUCUCUAUGUAGCUCUUGCUUCUUCGCAAGGUUCAAGGCAAAAAGAAAGGGCUGAAUCACAACUUACUUUGACUUUCUUCUCACUGAGGUGGUGAGAUUUUUUAUAUUAUCCCUCUCAUUUUCUUUGUAAUUCUGAAUCCUAGGGAUCUUGUUAGAGAUUUAAUCCUUGAGAUCUUUGAGUUAGGUUUGAUAUUUAAGAGCCUACAUUCCUUUUCUACAAAUCAUAGAACUCUCAAGAUUGAUGCCUAAAAGUAUGCUUGUGGUCAUAUUGGUCCUCAAUUCUCAACCAACCUAGGAUGUUAGAGAGAUAACGUAGUAGCUUCAUCAUCCAUCUUCAUCACGUGCUUUUGUUCUCCUUGCAAUUUCCAUUCUCAUUGCAGGUAGUGUUGCACCUUCAACUUCGCCUGGGGCAAUGUGCUCUUUUAAAUUCUGCUGUUGCACAGGAAUAUGACAACAUGCAAUACUCGCUGCUUGAAUUCUACUGCACUUGUUUGGAAGAAAGUAAGAAUUGAAUUGUUUAAAAGUAUUAUAUUGAUCAAGUGCAUUUACUUCUUUGUCACACUCUUUCUUAUGUUUCAGGAAGCAUGUUUUAUGGUCCUUUCAUAAAGCUUGCCAGAGAUUCCCAGGAACUUUCUGUCUGUUGCCUUUACUAUUUCUCCCAUUUGGAUUCAUCUCUGCUCAAGUCAAUCGCUUUUUGUUGUCUAUGUGAGUACCAUGUGUAUGAUAAUUAAAAACUCCAUGAGUUGUGUUUUUUUUUUUUUUUUUAAAUAGAAUCUUAGAACAGAAUCCAGGUCUCUUCUCUUUGUAUUUAAAACUAAUUUUAAACAUGAAUGCAUAGGUUGAUUUUUAUUUUGGAUGAUCGUCAUAGCUGCUAGAUUUCAUGGAUAAAUUGCUCAAAGUACCUCAAUUUAGAAUUGAUGAUUCAGUAGCCAUAUUUCCUAAAGUAUGCUGCACUCCUUUAGUUCGCUGUCUUAAUACAACUACUAACUCAUCCUCACCAUGGUGAAAGAGUAUGUUUUCCUUUUCUUUAUGGUGAUAGAGAUGAUUCUAAGAGAUUCUGACAUGAAUAUUUGGGACAUAAAAAGUAGUUGGAGAAUUAUUUGCUUUGUAGGAGAUAGUGGUGGACCAUGGAUUGUUUUCAUAGAGCGAACCUGAGGACCAUGAAUUUGCUUUGACAUGAACAUCCAUGGAUUGUUCUCACAGGGCAUAAAUGCCUUCACUUGUUUGUCCUACACUUUGAAAGACAACUUUGUUCCAAAAAUUGAGGAUGAAUUAUAAUUCCUAACAUUUUUUUAGUUAUUCAAGGAUAAAAAUUUCUUUGAUGUAGGUGCAAUAUGCACAUUUAGAAAAGUAGCAGACUCUAUGCUUAAUGUCAAACAAUUGGAGAUGUUUAGGGAGCCCCCUCUCUCCCUCUCUAUACAUACUUACAUAUAUAUGUGUAUAUAUAUUUAUAUAGUAGUUGGUAAUUAUUCGUAUAUCAUGACUAAAAUAGGCUGAGAAUGCUUCUUCAUAAAAUUGUAAGCAUGAAAAGAAGAAAAAAACUAUGCUGUUUUUAGCACCUGUUUAUCAAACCUUUUGUAUACUUAUUUCUUGCCAACUUAUUGCAGGUGAUGAUUUGGAACCAUUUAUGUUAUUUCGAAUAAUAGAGGUUCUGCAUUCAGCAUAUAAAGCUGGGCAUAUUCAGAUUGCCGAUCAUAUUAGUUUCUUCAUCACUCUACUUUCACGAUUCAGAGUUUUUCCUGGUAUCCAGCCCAUUCAUUUUCUGGAAAAAUUUAGUAGCUAACAUUUGGUUUCUCUUCUCUCUGUUAGUUACCCUUUUUGCAAUUUUAUUUUGUGGUUGAACUUCCAUAAAACUGGAGUGCAUUUGGUCCUCAUAUGCAAUCAUCCAUAUCUAUGCAUAUAAGGGGUUGUGAGGAAACAUAUAUAUAUAUAUAUAUAUAUAUAUAUAUAUAUUAUAUAUGAGGGCAAUAGGUUGACUGUGACAACUAGUUUUAUUACAAAAAGAUAAAUGGCAUCAUAUAUGAGCGAGGUUCUUAUUAGUCAAGCUGAGCCUGAGAGAUAUCUUGCAAGCUAAAAUUGGUCUUUUUAUCUCUGCAGAAGAGAUUUAUACGGUUAUGGAGGGUGACAAGAAGAUGUCAAAUCGUGGGAUUUUCAAGUCAGUUACUAGUGUUGUUUCCUCUUGCCUGCUGCAGAUGGGGGAAGAUUCACUUGUUUUUCAGAUACUGGAGGAAGUUAUACUUGAUCAGAUGGUAAGUUGACAUAAUGCCUGUAUCUCAUCGUGCAUAUCUUUCAUUUCAUGCAUGUAUGCUACUUUUUAUACUUCUGGCAGCUUUAUGUUGGCUGAUUUCUCCUUUAUUUAGUGAGAACUCUCCAGCAUUUCCUUUGGACUACUGAUCGGCUUGUUAGGAAUUUUCCUAUGGACAUGAAGCCCUUAUACCAACCUUGUUUUUAUUUCAGUCACUCAGGCCACCUAUAGACAACAUCUGUGCUAUGCUUAGAAUGCUGCUUUUACUGGAUUCCAGACCCACAAGACUUUCUGAUCAGAGUGUUAUCAAUCUAAGCAGUUUCCUAUCAGGAUACCUGAUUGAUGUUGCAUCUGUAAGUUUGUCAGCUAGAAUCUGCGUUUAAAAAGUUUACAAAUUGUUUCUCUUUUUUGUCACUGUAUUUUUUAAAAUCUGUUUCACUUUCUUUUUUUUGUUAAAUCUUAAAUGUGUGUGUGUGUUAUGGUGAUUUCUUCUUGGAUACUUAUCUAUAAGUAGGCCUCACUUAGCUGGAAAAUCUCAAGUCCCCACCAUCAUACUUUUUAUCCUUCCAAAAUCUCCCUCUACCCAAAAACUGAACCAUGGGCCUCUGAGAAAAUCCACCCAAAUUAUCAUCACAAAUUUUACAGGGGCAUAGAAGAGAAAAAGUGCCUCCUCUAUACACGACAACUCCAAAAUUCAAUUAUCCCAUCAUCACCACUCACAAACCCCUUAGCAUUAGUGCAACCCACUCUAAACAGCAACCUGCCCUAAGGCUCCUAAACUUAUAUUGAAACCAAUUUAGAUUCUUGUAAGCACAACCAAUUGGGCCUUGUAAGGUUGGAGGAGAAAUGGAACGACCUCCCUCUUAUCCACAACAUUUGCCCUCUUAAAUUCCAUGAAUUAAUCCUAAGUUUCAUUGUCCAAUCAUGUUUGGGUUCAAGCAGCAACAGCACCUGCCUCAAUCUUCAAAUCACCACCCUCAUAAUUCACUGAGCAGGAUGGUUAUGCAAUUCUCUGUUCUUGCAUGAACUGCCUCUCCCCUUCUUUCAUAGUGUUAGAGCCCUGUUUGCCCCACCUGGAUUCUAUGUCUUAAGCAUGUCCAUACUCUCCUCCAUACGCUUUGAUCAACAGUUACAAAUACCUGUUGAAUAUCCCAAAUUUCAUUUUUGCCUGUGGUGUAGGAGCUUUCUCCACACCUUUUUGAACUCCUGAUCUGGAUUGCAUGAAAUUCCACCAGGCAGUAUAAUAGAUACCAUGUUCAUGUCAAUAGGAGGCAACACAAUACCACACCAAUCUUUCUCCAACCACACCACCAUAUUCCUCACGCAUUUUAAUGGGACUCUACCAUGGCCCAUCUUGCAAGAUCAUCUGCAAUAGUCACCUCCACUUCACUGCAAGCUUUCCUUACCUACAUUCCCAGGUGCAUCCAUUGCUCCAAUGCUUUUCUGACCUAUAAGGCCUGCUCAUCACCCACCAAACUAGAGGAAGAAGACCCCAGCAGACUUACCUAAGUUAGGAGACUCCCUUUCACAAAGAUAAGUGCUUACUGCUAAUUAGUGUCAUCACCUUUAGCUCCUCCACACCACCUUCACCUCUCAUCCCCAUAAAGGGACGAAAAGACCAACUUGAUUAACUCACAAUUUCUUUGCCUGGGCAUCAUACUGCCUCCUGUCCAGUAGAAAAGACUUGAGGAUGUCUUGCUCUCUGCUUCCAUAUGUUCUCCCUUCUCAGCCUCCAUGGGAGAUAUGAACUUAAAAAUUGCCAGCCUAAGGAGGUCAGAUUCACUUCCUUCACUUUAUUACAAUCCACCUUCAAAAUUUGAAUUACUGCCAAUGGGUUGCCAAACAAAAAACAAACACCCCUACCACCCAACAUCUUCUUGUCUACAUUGGCUACUUCUUGCUCUACUUGGCCUGGUCUUUAGUAUCUUACAGUUGUCAUUUAACAUCCUAAGCAAUGCUCAAAGCCCCCAUGGACCUUAGCUGCUACACUGCCUUCAGACACUGUUGAAAUUCCCCAUUUCCAGUUCCAUCCUCCACACGCUUUGAAUGUUUACCAGAAAAUCCCAGAUUAUGCAGCCUGCUUGGCUAAGAAUAUCGACUCAGAAAAUCUAAGCUAUCUAGGAAAAUAACAAAAUACCUCGUUAUGUCCUCUGGAAACACCAAGCCGGGCAGAUAUCAACAAUUCCCAUUUUUCAGCUCUCUUCCAUCAAGCUUAAGAUCUUUAAAUUACACAUAUCAUUUUUUCAUCCACAACAAUAAUCCAAACAGUUCAAAAGUCAUGAGAGUCCCCUAGAACCUAGUUUGUUCCGCCUUUAGUAGCCUUUUCCCGUAUUCAUGAUCUCCCCUUUAAUUUUCCCUUGCCAUUGUUUUCAUAAUUCCUCGUUUUAAUCCUAGCUGCAUCCCAAAUAUUUCAUUUCAGUUCAAUUUAUGCUGAAACCUUUAAAUUAUAAACAGCUAUCCAUAUUUCUGACUUUAUUGCUUACAUCUAGUCCAGUUUCAUCAGGUAGACAACAUGCACCACGGGACCUCAUCUUUUUUUUUUUUUCUUUUGAUCAAUAAGCAAAAGAAUUGUAUUAACGAAGAGGCACUAAAAUAGCGACCCACAGAAUUACAGUAUAGAGACACUCACCCCCUUACAAUUGGACCCAAAACAAGAAGGAAAAAACAAAAAACCUCCAGUUGUGCAGUUAAGUUCAUCCAUUGCUAAUGCAAAACGCAAGCAUCUGUGCAGCUAGAAAAUGGCAUCUCCCAUGAGUUGAUCUCUCAGGUUGUAUCCUCCAGUUGUAUGUGCAGCCCUUCAUCAAAUUAAUAAAUCUAGUUAUUCUAUUUUCUAUUUUUUUUCUUUUUUGAUCAGUAAGUGUAAUAUGUAUAUUCAAAAAGAGGCGCUAAAGAAGCGACUCAAAAAGCUACAGCAUCGAACAACUCACCCCCUUACAAAAGAACCCAAGCCACUAUGAAAGCACAAAAAACUCUCUCCCUUAACGCAUACACACCCAUUCCAUAAAAUCUAUUAAGGUCGAAGGACCAUCUUUUAUCCACAAUUUGGUUUCCGACCAUAGUAAAUACACAAAAGAAAUUUUCAGCUUUUGGAUGGACAGCACCCCAUCCUCAAAAGCAAUAGAAUUCCUAGCCUUCCAAAUAACCCAAAACAAGCAUAACGGUCCCAAAAGCCACGCCACCUUCCUCUUCUUGCCCACAAAGGAGCCUCUCCAACCUAUGAGAGUUUCCUUAACCGAAAGCGGAAAAACCCAAGAGACUCCAAAAAAAGAGAGUAGCAAAGUCCACACCUCCCUUGCUCUUCCAAACACCUAUUAGUUACAUUUGUCUUGUUAUAUACUAAUUUUGAAACAUAUAAUUUCCUCCCUGCUAUAUCUGAUGGAUAUGGACACAGGUAUGAGAUGCACAGAUUCACUGACCUAGCUCAAAAAGUAGGACCAUAGAUGUGGAAAGGACAGAACAAUAUAUUAGUAUAUGCUUACUGGUCUUUCCUCUCUUUUACUAGUCAUAUUCUUGUCUUUUGUGAGUUUGAUCUCUGUGCACUGCACUAUAUAGACGCAUGUCCAGCAGUGUGAGGGGAUUGUACUUUCCUACUUAGUAUUCACAUAGACAUGGGUCCUCUUUAAAGGCAAGCAUGCUACGGGCAUCCUGUUUAUGUUUACAUUUCAAGUUUAAGUAGUUUGUUAGUUGUUUUGAGGAUUUGUUUUGUGUUCUUUGUAAAUUGUUGCUUGUCAAUUUGCCAGCUUAAUGACUUACCAAUUUUAAUUGAAGCACUUCAUCCUGAUGCAGGGCAUUCCAGAAGAUGAUGGCAAGUCCACCAGUUCCAUUCAUGUCAACACAUGCCAUUAUUAUUUCCUACCAUGCUUUUUACUGUUCACAAGAAGUGAAAAGUUUUUAAAGCUCACCUUGGAUGUGAUGGGCUCAUUGAUAACAGAAAAUGGUUCAUCACCUUUUUCUCCUAAUUGUAUUCUAAAUGCCACUGACCAUACGAAUAGGAUAAGAGCUAUUGUUGAAAUCCUUAUAUUGAUGCACAAAGAUGUUAAAAUCCAGCGAAUUCUUUCUUCAUGCAAAUCAGAGAUUGACCAUAUUUUGCAGAACAUGCUCUUAUUACAGGUAUGAUUUUGUACAUUAAGCCAUGCAAUUCCGUUUAGUUUUUUUUUAGUUAGUUUGUGUAUUCAACUGACCUGUCUGGUCCAAGCAUCAUGGAUUUUUUUCAAGGUUAAACCAGGCAGCCAAAGCCUGCACUAUAAAUGCUAUUUAAUCACGGAUGUCAUAGAUUGUUUAUAUUUAAUAUGUAGAAUGUGCCAAAUUGAAAUGCUCAUUAAGUAUCUUUUAGCAGAAUAACUGAUUGGCCUUUAUACUGUCCGAUCUACCUGAUCUAAUAUGACUCUUUAACUCUCCAAGGAUUGCUGUAAAAAGGAAAAUGAGUCAGAAAUUCAGAGUAAAGAUUACCAUGACAAUCACAAGCUUCAUUGUAAUGAAAUCAGCCUGUUUAUUGUUUGAUCAUUAACAUGUUGAAUACUGCUGUUAUGAUUAGAUGUUUUUUUCCCUCAAGAUAGGGUAAGAACUUUAGAAUUGGACCCCUUAUAAUUCAGACCUAAUUUUAUAUUCACAAGCCUUCACAAAAUACCUUUCAAAUUCGAUUUGACCUCAUAAUCACUAGCCUUAUAUGCAAGAUAGUCUGCAAUUUUGUUGCUAUUUCUGUUGAAAAUAUCAAUAAUGGUUUUAUAAUCCAAUUAUAUGAUAAAUACCAAUCAUAUCCAAUUAUAUGAUAUAUAGAUCUACUUUCCUUCUUUUGAUCACACUUUACACAGCAGAUUUUGUAUGUGAGAAGGAUUUCUCUGUUUUCUCAGCCUUCUUUAUAUUUGUUUUCACUGGAAUAAAAUGGUUGUUUCUGAUUAAUAUUAACAUAUGCACACACACACAUAUUAUACACGCUAAAGACAUGUUGUUGUGUGUAAGUAAUAAAUUUCUUGACAUCAUUGUUACCGCAGGCUUCAAAAGGAAUGAAUAUGAGUAUCGAAGAAAGGCACAAUAUACAAUGUGCAUUUGACCGACUAAAGUGCAUAACAAGUACACUACCCAGUGCGACGCCAAUAAUCUAAAUGCAUUUUUGGAAUCCAAUAAAUUGGCCUAGUAAGUUAUCUAUCUUUCAUCUGCUUUUGUUUCACACAUUAUUCUUCAUUUAAAAGAGGUGAAAGGCAAGGUGGUUUUGGAGGUUUUGGGUUCUGUUUCUCAUGAGAAAGUUCAUGAUCCAGGGAGGGGGGAUGAUCAAUUACAAUCUUGCUUCUUUGACUCUAAAGGGCAUUCCAAUUUUAUGGUCUAAGAUAUCCUGACGCUACUGUACAGUAUGGGCAAAGGAGUCUAUAAUUCAAACUAGUCAUUGGCUUGUGCAAUGUACAUGAAACUGUUUUGUUCAAAACAGAUUGAUAAAAUAAUAUAUUCUAUGUCAACUAAAAGUGAUAUUUUUCUAAUAGGUAUAACUAGAAAGUGAUCUGAAUUUUGUUUGGCUCUUUAAUUAAUGAUCUCUUCGCCUGUCAAAGAAAACUAUGGAGUGACGUAAGGCUGCUAUAGUAAUGAAACUGUUUUUAUUUCUGAUAAAAAAAAUGAAAUUAAAAUAAAAUAAAAUGAAAGGGUUUUAGGUAUAGGAGAAAAUUAGUUGCUAUAUCCUUUGUGGUGGUUUUGAUCUGUUAUGGAAAAAAAUGAUCCCUUUACUUUAUGCAGCUGUCUCUUCUGACUCUUUUAUCUUAAAAGGGGCCAUGUGCUCCUUGGAUAGCGGUAGUCUUUCUUCUACUAAAUCCAUUGGCUCUCCCAGAGCCUGGGUUCCAUGUUGGAUUCUGUUGGGUGAUUCCUAGUGAGAUUCCAUUGGUGUUUGGGGUUGCUUUCUGGGUUUUUUCAGCAUAUAAGUUUUAUUGUCUGAUGCUUCUAAUGAUACGCAAUAACUUGAACCUAUACAGGAGAAUGCCCAUUGAAACAUCUCAUCGAGUAUUUAAUACAAUGUUUUGUAACAGAAGUGUGACUAAUUUUCUCUCAUUUUUCUUGUGCCUUCUUUCAGCUUUGUAUUUUACAAGAAUGGAGAGAACAUGGAGAAUCGGAUAUGUUGUUGGCAAGAUGUGGAAUUGGGAUGUGUUGUUAAAUCAACUAGUAUAUGUCACCAUAAUCUCAAGAUGACAAGGUGAAUUCACUCUGAUUCAACUUAUCCGAGUCAUGCCAGAAUUAUACCUAGUGGUCUUCAAUCACAUGCUUGUAUUCUUCAGAGUCAAAAGUGAGUGCAAUUUUGAGCCGUAGAUAAGGUAAUCAUCCCCCUUUCUUGGCCUUUUCCUUGGUUUUUUUCCUCUCCUUUUCUUCUGCAUGGCAAUUGCCUACGCACUUCAUCAUAUAGUUGAGUUAUAAGAUAUAUACUUAUAGUUGAUGAGAUUUUGUAGAAAAUUUUGGAAUUGCCCCAAACUGAUAAGAUGGCAUGAGGUUGAAUGCACACAAUUUUGGGAGUUGACUCAUAAGUUAAAAUGAUUCAAUGGAGUAGACGUAUUACACAAAUUUACCUCUCCGAGUGAAUAUUAAUAAAACGCACCAACAAUUGAGCAAUAUUUGGUCUUCUAAUUAUUCAGUGAUGUUCUUUGUUGUUGAAAGUCAAAAGAACAAUUUAUCAUCCGAAAAUCUGUUGAUUGAAAACCAUUUGUUUUCAAGACUAGUUAUAUUAGAAAGUUGAUUGUAGUAUGGGAUCAAGGACUAUUAUUGCCGAGGUUGGGUGAGUGAGAUUUUAUGUAUUGACCCUUUAAGUUCAUAUUUACAGAUUCUCAUUACCUCAUUAAGCAAAAUAAGAUGAGGGAUGGAUGAUACCUGAAUUGCCUGAUUCUUCUACAGCCCAAUACCCGAUAAUAUUUUUAAAGCGCCUAUCAUUUGUGAUGGUAAACUUCGGCAAGCACUCUUCUUACACAACGUGUGCUUGUCAGAAAAAUUAUUGAUGGAUUUAAUUUCCAGGAGGUUUGACCGUGGCCCAAGUAUCUUUUCAACUGCAACACCAAAGUCCCUAUGGGCCAUUAUGCAUUUAAUCCAUUUUACCCAAACGUCAUAUCAUCAAGAUAUCCAAAACGGUGCCGUAGAGGUUAUUUUGAUAAUAUGUCUAAAUACAAACUUCCAUAUUUUUUUGCGGUCGAAGUGAUUUGCCCUCACGCUUGAUCAAGAGAUCCGGACUAGUUUCCAUUUGAGAAAGUUAAAUUUACAGCCUGCUUGAGAGAAAUUAAGGAAUGGUAGGAUCAGACAAUGAAAUAUCGGAGUAUUCAAUUAAUUUGCUAAGAAAAACUCAAAAUGAAUUUUAAUAUUUUACCAUCUGAUUAAGUCAUCCAAAAAAAAUCAUAAAUGUACAAAUGCAUGCAGGUAGGUGUCCUCUUCAUGAUGGUAUGCACUGAAAUUCGCAUUAGGUGAGACCCACAAGUUCAUUUGACAUUUGCCAUAAUCAUCCCUUAAAUGAAAAUGACUAAAAUGUCUUCAUUAAUUUGCAUCAUGGUCCAUGCUUUUCGUUUUAUAUGCUUCUGCAAGUAAAGGGCAUUUAUCUUUACAGGCCUCGCUCAACCAGGUCCAUAUGCAUAUGAUGGUGGAGCUCACUUAAUCGUGUGUUACACCGCUAUCCCCCAGGAUCCCAGCCAAGCAAAUUGGGCCCACCAAACAUUCAUGGCUCACUUAUUCUUAGGUAAGCUGGUGGUGUACCACUUCCAGGAUUGGCCUUCCCAACCUAAAACCUCUCAUUUGAUGAUCAAUUUGUUUGCUUUCAGGAAAGCAUAGUCCAGCCAAUAAUGUGCCUGUGUGCAUGGUUCACCUCAAACAAAUCCAGAAAUUUGCCAAGUCUUGUUUUACAUUAACCAGCAGUCACCCGUUGCCCUGAAACUAACUUCUUUAGUGACAAAUUUGAACCUGAAUACAAACAGGUUUGUAUGAUUAAAAGCUAGUGAGAAAGGCGAGUGAAAAAUAACAAACCAAAACUAAGAAAUCAAGUAGACAUAUAGCAGAAAUAUGAACUGCCAUGCCUACAUGCUUGAAACCAAGGCCAUAUCAACAGAUCAAGUAUGUGAGCUGGAACAUGAUUUGAGUGAUGAAAAACAAAUGAUUAUGGGUGUUAUUUAUUCUAAGAUAACAUUUGGGUCCUGCAUUUGUUCCUACUAGACAACAAUUUCCAGGUGUUAUUAGUAGUAAUCCCAAAUGUCAAGAAAACUAAACAAUUUUCACAUCAAUGGCAACCCCUUAGGGUCUGAAAAGCUUGGUCGGCGCAAUCAUUCAAGUGAACCAUUGAAUUCUGAAUUCCUUGCAUUGGAGUGAAUACAAGAGAGAGCAAUAUCAGUUUCAUCCUUAAUCAGGUUUUUUAAAUUAUUUAAUGAGAGCAAAAUUUGCAACUAAUAGAUUUUGGUAAUAUAAAUUCAUUAGUCAUAAUUGUAUUCUCCUGAAGAAGGGGAUACUCAAAAUAUUACCAAUAUGAUCAGGACACCAAAAGAUUAACUGGACUGGAAAUUGAGAACAAAGAAAAUGAAAAAGAAACAGGACUGAGGAAUAGAAUAGAAGCUUAAUACAAAUUCCCAAUGCAAUUUAGAAGAUUCUAUGAAAUAAUAAACUGUAAUUUUUUUUUCUGAAAUGACAUAUGCACUUGUUUGCCAUAUCAGAGUAAAGCAAACUACUACAAAGUAGCUAAUCUGUCAUCCGAAAAAUAAGAAGUAGAGGACAAACAAAUCUAAAUAUACAAACCUCUGCAAGAAUUUCUACUGAAAGAACUUCCAUUUCUUCUCACAAUCCUGAGACUGGUGCAAGCCUCGGAUGUUCACCUUACCAGCACAUCCCUGUAUCAGAUUCAUCUCAUGAAGCCAUUUGUAUGUAACUGAAAAAAAAAUUAAAAAAAAUGCUGUAUUAGAUUCAUGAAAACGACCCAAGGAGCACAACCAACGAGGCACCCUUUAUGAGAUUGUUAAAUUUUGAAUGGUAGCCUUUCAUUGUUAAAUUUGACUCCUAGUAUUUCAUGCAAGGAAAUGCAUUUGUUCCCAAAAAAAAUAACCCGGUCAACACAGGUUUAAGAUCAAAGUAUUGCUUUAAAUUUCAAUUGUUUAUGAUAAAUAAGAGUGUAGAAAUCAACAACCCAAAAUUUUUUCCAUAUUUUCCUUCUAAAAACAAACUUAAGAUUAAGAAGUUGGUGAUGCUUAUGUCUCACCCAUCAAAGGACCAAAGAAAAAAAAAAUCAACCUCUGGUUCUUGCAUCUCAAAACUAUGCAACUAAAAUAUAAUUGUGUGAAUAAAUAUAAUAGAACAAGGGCUCCCCCUUAUUUCUUUUGGUCUAAGCUUUGAAAAGAUUGGAGGGACAGGAAUGCCAAUUUGCUAUCCAUCUGAUCACUAACUUUUGUAAUACAUCUAUUUAUGAUUCAUACGAUGGUGUCUGCAUAUCAUACAAGGUAGUUGUGUUGUAACUCCCAGCUAAACUUGGUAUGCCAAAUUUUGGCAUUCAUGUCCCUUGUGCCAAACCUCGUCGACUCAUGGAGACACGUGUAAGUUCUCAGGCCACUUUGGAGAAACCAACCUCAUCCCACCAUUUCCAUCAUUUCAGUUCAAUGUUGUUCGCUUUUAGUAAUUUCACCACAACACGCAAUUGCUUUCCUUUCAUAAUUUAUGUUGAAAUUUAGCAAAAAUAGUGAUAAUUUGAUAGAAAUCAUCCCCUCUUCUCUCCCCCUCUCCUCUCGAAAUCAGUAUUUCUAUAUAUAUAAAGAGAGAGCGCGCUACCUUUCUGGACGAGCAAAUGAGACAAACUCCUCGUUUCUUCUACAACCUUCCAGAGGAACUUCCAUGAAGGACGAUGAAAGGGAUCCCCAAGCACUGCGAGACUGAGUGGCAUGAAUGUGAAUCGAUUCAGAUGGGAAGGGCAAUAUCGUCACAAAAAAUUAAUAUGUGACGAUAAAAUAGCGAACUAGACGCCACUGCUCGAUGAGUGGAUGACUUGGGAAGCAAGCAACUAAUGAGAGUAGGAGCCUUUGAAGCUUCUUUCGUCAUCUGGUUUAUACCAUAAAAAUCAGAUUCAUGUUCCGUAAAUACCCCCACCGCCUUAAUUUAAUUACUAUUUCAGGUCUAAAACCCCACCACGCCUCGCGCCUUUUAUAAAACCCUUUCUGUUGCAAUAUUUCCUUGUUAAUGUUUUCAGCCGACGGGAUUCGCCGUGGUCUGCAGGUAAGAUGAUGGAGAUCAACGCCGGGGUCUCUUUUCCGGUCGUCUUCUUCGAUGGGGAACGGGAAAUCAACAUCGGAGACGUCGUUGUGUUUCCGUCGAUGGAGUUUAAGAAUUUCCAAUCAAUUCUGAGCCAGAAAAUUGGAAUCUCUCCACACCAGAUCUCCAUCUUCCUUGACUGUCAGAGGAAAUCGCGAUCAUCCAUGGAAACACGUCGGAGAAUUCCUAUUACCGGUAAGGUGAGUUUCUCUGCAAUUCUUCGCGAGAAGGAUUGCUUCUUUCUUGUGGUCUUGAAGCGAUCAAGGAGAGAAAGAAGGCGAAAAUCAAGACUUCUUAACGAAGUGGAAGAAGAAGAAGAGAACUUCACGACGCGGAAUACAGUAGCGCCGCCUCAGAAACUGCAUCUUCUCCGGCGAAACCAAGAGACAACCGAUCAAACAUUUUCAGGCUUCGUUUCGCCGUAUUACGAUCAGAUUAUGCCUUCGGACGACCUGUUCGUGGGAUCGCAGUUUCUAAAUUAUAAUAAUCGUCUCCAGAAUUUGCAGAUUCAACGAGAGAAGUAUUUGCGCUCUACCAAUUUGCAUUCGAUACCGAAUGAGAACUAUGACUUCCCGGUGACGAAUAAUCGAAUCGGAAGAGAUGUGAUAGUGUGCGAGGAGUGUGUGAAGGCGAUGACGAUGGGAAAACCGGUUCCCUUCCACUGGUGCGUGUACGACGCCGUCACUGUAGGGUUCCGAUCACCGGCCGGACCAAUUGCGAGGCCUGUCAAACGUUCCAAUUAGGGUUUGAAGGUCCACGUUUUUAUUUUAUUUUAUUUUGUUAUUUUGAUGAUGAUGAUGAUGAUGAUGAUUUGAAUUGAACCCAAGGAGACUUCCGAUUUAGGCUUUCUGCUUAGGAACAGGAAACAAUAGUGUUGGGGGGUGGUGAUGGUGGUGCGAUGUGGCAUACGAUAAGGAAGGUAUACCACACGCGAUACCACAUAGAUUACAGAAGAUACUAGGACUAGGAAAUUAUACAAGUGUUGAUAUACGUGUAUGGAAAAACGCCCUUUGGGAAAGGGUCCAAGUUGACAGAUCUUUUUCUGUAUUUUUCUUUUUUUCUUUGGAUUCUUGAGAGAGUGAGAAGCUCUGCUUCAUUGCUUGAAAUGGUGAGACACACCACUUGGAAUUGUUUUCCACCCCAUUCCAUUUUCAGGAUCGUAACACUACUUUGGGAUUAGGCCCUACAGGAAUUUAAUUCCCAUUGGCGUUUUGAUUGGAAAUUUGGUAUAUGAAUGAAUUGUCAUCGUCUCUUUUCUUUUCUGGGUUCAUGGCUUACCAUUUUUACUUGUAUUUUAAUGGAAAUGUUGUAUUUUUUUAUAGUUUUGGUCAUAUUUUAUAUUGGAUGGUGGUGGUGGUGGUGGUUGUUGUUCUUGUUAUUUGUAGGAGAGGGGCCUUGUCAUGGAUGACUAAUUGGAAAUUAUUGGUGUUGGUUGGGAAUUAUAUUAUUGGCACAUUAGAAUUUUCAAUUUUUGAUAUUUUUUGUGAAGAUUAAUUGUAUUCUUGUAGUUUUUGGGUGUCAUGUGAAUUUUUCUGAGGGAGGCACAUGGCGCAUUCUCUAUCACAGAUGAAAUAAUGGCCACGGAUGGGAGGAGUUUGUCAGAAGAUAACUUAAGACUAAUAAAUAGAGUUGUUAAGAUGUAAAUUGUUACUAUAUGUGUGAAAAUAACAUAUGCAUGUGGUUAUUAUUAUGUGUACAGGCUCUUCUUUAGGUCUUAAUGAUGAUAAGGAUUUGAUAUGCAGUCUACUUAAUGGUAAUUACUAAUUGCCUUGAAAACUGACUUAAAAGAGUUCGCAGUAAAAUAUGAUUUUGACCUUUUUCAAAAAGGAUACAAGGAUCGAGGGAUAGUGAUUAACAUUAACAGCACUGAAAAUUAAUGAAGAUUUAAAAAAAUUAAAAAAAAAAUAGAACUCCGAAACAUAAUUUAUACUCAUCUUAGAAAAAUUUCUUAUAUUUUUUAGCAACUAAACAUAUUUAGAAAUCAUAAUGAUUAUCCAAUUACCAAUUUCCUACAAAUUACAUAUUAAUCAUUAUCAAAAUUUAUCAUAAUAAUAAAUUAUGAUAUCUUGAAAUAUUUGAAAUAAUGUUAAAUUACUAUUUUUUUAAUUAUUAUUUUUAAAAUUAAAAUAAAAACAAAUAUAAUAAUUAUGUUUAUAAAUAUUUUAACAUGUAAAAAUAAAUAGAUCUAACAUUUAACAAUCAAUAGUAUUCUAAUAUUAAUAAAAAAAUAAACAUUUAAUGGUAACUUAUAAAAACUACCUUCCAAUUAUUAUUAUUAUUUUUUUCUCAAUUUCUUAUCCUCUCAUUUCCCCUUCCUUGUGCAAACCAUUAAGGCUAUGUUUUGGUAGCAAAAAACAUCAAGAAAAAAAAAUACUUUUAUCAAUUUUAUUACAAAAACCACAAAAAAAAUAAAAUAUAAUUAAAAUUAGUUCUAAGUUUAUAUAUUUUAAUUAUUUAGUCCAAUGAGAAAAAUAAGUGAAAUAAGAUUAAAAUUUUAUAUAAAAAUAUUUUAUUAACUUUAAAUUUAUAUUUUUAUUAGGUUAUGUUUUAUGAUAAAAUAAAGUUAUCCAAAGAUCUUAAGGCUAUGUUUGUUUUUUUUAAAUUUUUGAAGGAAAACAAAUAGUAGGGAAAAAAAAAAAAAGAUAAUAAAUAAAUAAAUUUAAAUUUAAUAAAUUAUUUUUAUAUAUUACUUCAAACUAAUUUCACUUAUUUUUUUCAUUAUAUUUAAAAAUAAAAUAUUGUAAUAUGCGUAAAGUUUUAACUAAAUUUAAUUUUAUAUGUUUAUAUUUUUUAUAAUUAAACCACAAAAAAUCAUGUUUUUUUAACUAUUUUGUUUCUUUUCUCACUACCGUUUUGAAGCCAACACAUUCUCCAACAAUAUAAAUUUUAAUUCCAUAUUCAUCUUAACAUUCAACACCAAAAUAAUAAUAAUAAUAAAAUAAAAAAUCAUUUUCUUUUUCAAAAUUAUAGAUAUAAAUUUAUUUUACCAUAUUUUUCUUAUUAUUUUCCAAAAAGUAUUUUAAUAUCAAUCGUGUAUAGUAAAAUUGGUUUAGGUAUAUAUUUUUAUCUUACAAAUAUAUAUAUUAUGCUAAAAAACACGUGUUAAUAUUUUUCCCACUAAAACGUUAUAAAGUGUUUUUGACGUUGAAAAUCUUAAAACAAAUACUAACAUUUUAGUUUGGGAAGUGUUAUUAAAAAUAGGUUUCUAUUUUUUAUAAUAAAAAAUAAAAAAACACCUUUAACAAAAUUUUGAAUUAAAAAUAGUUAUUUUUAAGGAUUUCUUUACAAGACAUUGUUAUAUAAAUAAUUAAAAAUUAUUUAUAAAUACGAUUUCAAAAUUACUUUUUUGAGACCUCUUUACGUUAGUAAUGAAAAUCCUGAUUUUAAUAUUAUAAGUAAUCAGUAAUUAUUAGAAAUGAAAUCAGAAUUUUUUCUUAUUUUUAUUUUUAGUAUAAAAUUUUUGGAAUAAUAAUAAUAAUAAUAAUAUGUUCGCAUUACAUUUUCAGAAAACAAAGUACGCUAUUGGUUGGGUUUUUGAAUUAAAAAGCAAGUUGACAACUGUUGAACCGCAUCUUCUACCAACCAAGGGUCUAUGCCAGUCGACUGUACAUCACGUGCAUAUCAACGACCAUAAGAAAGCAGGUUUCAAGCCAAGAUUGGCGAGUGGGGGCUAUUUCCUACUCGAGAGCGUGCAGAAGGCAUGGAAAUAAGACAGAAAGGAGAGGGGGGUUUUGCUGGGGGUUUUUGAAGAGCCAAAACGGCAAAACGGGCGAGUUAGUGGAGAUUGUAGAGCGCCGAGGAAAUCGCAGAGGGGGAGUGGUCACGUGAGUGCAGUACUCUUUCUUUCUCUCUAGCGAAGAUGAAAGAGAUUGCCGUAGCGCGUAUUCCCUCUCUUAUUUCUGGAGAGAGAAAAUCGUAACGUCAUUUUGAAAGCUGAGCGCUCUCUCUCGGUUCUCUCUCUUUAGCCUCCCUCCGUUCCCCAGAUGAACAUUUUGGUUUCAAACCCUUGAAAUUCCCUCUCUUCUCUCAUCUUCUUUUGUCUUCUCUCGAAGUUGGGUUUUGCUAGGGUUCCAAUCCUUUGUUUUAUGCUUUUUAAAAAUGGCGGAGUUUCCUCCAAAUUUAGAUGAUGGAGAACUAUGGCUUCCUUCUGAUAUUUUCCCAGAGGAAGUUCCUUCUAAAUUUGGGACCCACCACUUGCCUUCUGAGUUCGCUUACAUGAGCGACAUCGCUCGGCAGUUUGCUGCUUUCACUUUGCUUCAGCCGCCCCAGACCCAUCCUAAACAUCCUCUAAACUUGGCACCAAACUUGGAGGUUACUCUCUGUCCCUUGUGUUCUCUAUUUAACUAAGCUUCAGAGGAUUUGCAUUCACGUUGAUGCUUUGAUUUGUGGGUUUGCAGCGGUUGAGACCGAUGAUUAGGUAUGGGCCGUAUGGCCGUCCCGGUUGUAGCACCACUGUUGCAGUAACUGGAAUUGGUGACAGCCCUUGUGUGUGUGACAGUCCUUGUGGGUGUGACUGCCGACUCCGGAGCUGCUGGGACGGUGGUAGGCCGUUGUACGAGUACCGCAAUGUGAAACCGCCUCAACCCCAGGUAAAAAAAAGGGGAAAAACUGCGAAAAGGACCGUUUGUGUUGAGUCAUUUCAAAGCUUUUCACUUUUUCAGCUUUAAUACACAGGUCGAUAGCUUUCUGCAAACAAGGACUUUGGCUCUGCAGAGGCACCAAAACCGCUUUCAGAACCGGUCUUUGCCGUUUCAGAGAAGCGGGUCUGGGUUGGGUGGUGGUGGUGGUGGUGGUGGUGGUUUUGGUUUUGUGAGAAACUAUGGAGGGACAGGUGUGUUUCUUCCCCGUAUUUCAUCCACAACCACCACUUCUCCAAACCCCACCGCCACUGAUGACUCUAGAAAGAAACAAGGUGAGUUGUUACCGUUUUUCUUUCUUUGGGCACUUUUGAUAUAUUUGGUGUGGAUAUCUGCGUUUUCCGCUUUAGGUCUGCUAUUAUGUCUUUUGUUUAUUUUAGUUCCCCAUAUUUUAUUGCUUUUGCUUGUCGCCUUUGUCUUCAAAACAUAGAACCAGCUUCAAAUUCUUUAUCUGGGUUUUGCUUCGUUGGGAAUCUGGAACCAUUUUUCUUUUCCUUUUUUUUUAUCAAAAAGAAAAUUACUUUCAGACUUUAGGAGGCAUUUAUUGUGGUGAACUGUUGUUGGUUCCAGUCUUCUUUCAGUUUUUUCUUUUGUAGUUUUUCAAAUCUCAGUCAAAGAAAGCACUAAUUUGCAACUGCUCAAUUCAGAUGCUUGACAGUUACUAUGUUCAUAACCUCCUGUUUUUCUUGAAUUUUGUCAUUUAUUUCGGUUAUAGUUUAAUAGUUUAUUGGGUCUGGCAUUUCUGUUGAAAUUGUUUUGUCCAUCUAUCAAUAUGAGCCUGCUGCCCAUGGUGUGGUGCCAAUGCAGCUUAUUAUAAUGCUUAACAAACCAAUGGACUGAAAUAUAUCUAAUAAAACUUUGUCGCCUUUCAUUACAAGUCUGAUAAAGAAGUCAGUGAAUCUAAUUGACAAACAAAAUGUCUUUAGCAAUCUAUAUGGAUUUCUUCUUCUCUUAUUCCACAUCUCUUUUGUUGAUAUCAUUAUUCCUUGUCUAUGGUUGCCUGGUCCAGAAUAUGAAAAUGAACAAUUUUAAGGAUAAUUUGCGAUAUUUUGUUUUCAUUUAUCUUAAUCUAAGGAUGAAACAUUGGCAGGCAUGAACAAUUGGCAUGGGAUGCAAGUCAGUUUACCGAGGAAACCAACCAUGAAUGGCAUUGGUGGGGGGAAACAAGAGGAGUGCAUCCGCCAGCUUCCUCCUGAGCUUGCCUUGCCUCAAGACUGGACCUACUGAGUUCCUCUUCUUCCUUGUAAAGAGUUACUCUAGUGGCAGUGUGGAACAUAAGGAAAUAAGAGCUCUAAGCAGGACAGAAGUCAAAUAAUCAUUUGGGUUUUGUGUAGAACUAAUAGAAAUUACUAUUAAAGCUGAAGUGGGUAAUCCUUUCUUUUAGUAAGGCUCUAUAACUUUGUAGAAUAAAUAAUGGGUUUGAAGCUUUUUGUAGGAAUUUGCAUUGUUUCGUUAUUUACAUUACUGUCAGCCCUCAGAAAACAUUGUUUCUGCCCUAUUGUUUUCUUCUUUGUGCAGUAUUGAAUGCUUAUAGCUGGAAUAACACAGCACUGCUAAAAGGACUAUUGCUUCUUGUGUUGGGCUUUCAGUUGGUGAAUCCAUGAAAGGCACAUUAAUGACUCUGCUGCAGUCAUGGAAUGUUAAUUGAAAUCUGCCAACCUUUAGGAAAUUUUUGUGUGUAAUUUUCUCAAGGCAAUUUUCAGUGGUGGAUUUUUGGGUUUGGAAUCAUUCAUAGGGUAUUGAUGAUUUUUUUCCCUCCAAGCAAAUGGUUUGAAUUGUAUAGUCUUUACAGCCUGUUCACAAUACCAGCUUUUAUAGGAAGGAAAUAAAUGAGUUACUUAGAUGCCAACUUGAAACCAACCUUACGAUGAAGUUGAAAGCUUAUGAAUAGGGAAGGGCUUUUUGUGGAAAUUUUUAUUACACCAGUCCGAACUUUAUGAAUUGUUUUUACUUUUUGUUUCUCUCUUCUAAGGAAAAUUUAUGAAUGCCCUCGCUCACUUCAACUGCCUUCAUUCUCAUCCUAUUUAUGCGCUUGAAGCAGAUACCCAAUUCACUUAAUGUAUGGUGUGCCCAUCCAUCUAAACCUAAUAUACCUUAACUACUACCCCAUAUGGGUUUUAUGGAGCAGUGUAUUUUUAAAAAAUUCAUAAUAUAAAAAAUAAUUCUAAAUUUAUGAUAUCUUUGAAUUUUGAAUAAAAUUGAGUUUACUUUUACAUUGAACUCCUUUUUUGAAAUGGGUGAAUUUAAUGUAAAAAAACAAGUUUAAUGUAGAAAAUGUAAACUUUUUUUUUUUUAAAUAUGAGUAAUAAAAAAAAAUUAAGUUCAAAAGAAGAAUUCAAUAUAAAAAGUUUUAAAGUUAAAAGGAAAUUCAUUUUCUUAAGAAAAAAGAGUAGAAAAAAUAACGAGUUUAGUACAAAAAUAAAAGAAGUGUUGAAAAGUUCUGUAUUUUUAUAUUUGUUUUUAAAUAAUUAUAUUUCAAUAAUAUUUUAUUUUUUAAAAUCCCCUAUUCUCAGGACGGUCACAUGAAUGCAUUUACAAAAAAAAGAGAAUUGUCGUUGUCAUUACAAUUGUUUUAAGAAAAUUAAUUUAUUAUAUAAAAAGGAAUGUUUUAAAUUUAAAUAAAAUUAUUUCUUUAAUUUAAAGAAAAUAUUUAAAUUAUUUUAAAAUUUUAUAAAUAUUAAUUUAAUAAAAAAAAAACUUGCUAUUUGAAUUUACAUAAAAUUGCAUUUAUUCCUUCCUUUUAAAAAAAAGUAAUAAAUGAAACAUGAUUUAUUUUAUUUGUAGAUAUGAAGGGUAUUUUUAUGUACAUAUGUCGUGCGAACCUUUUCGUUGUGACAGAGGAGGAGCCCAAUGUGCAUAAUAAUGACAAUUGUCCAUCCAAUUACAUCAAUGAUAUGGCAUAAAAAUACAUAAUUUUCAUUUUUUUCAAAUAUAUAUGUGAUGUAAUAUACAAAAAGUUAAAUGAUGAAAUUUAAUAAAGAGUAAUGUUUGCAUGACCGUGUACAUUAGUAAUCUCAUGAAAUUGAAGCUUUCAAUUUGACAGAAUGAUAUGUUAUUUUUUAUUUAUGAGAAGAUUUCAUCUCUUAUUUAGUAAAUUUGUAUUAAGGGUUUAGUGACAUUUUCAUAUGGAUUUAGUAAUCUGAUCUUUAUUUAUACACUUCUCGAUAGAUGAUAGCUUAAGACAAAUACAUUUCAUCUGGCAUACGAGGAGAUGAUUAUUACAUUAAAGGACUCGUCGAUCAUCCUUAGCAUCCUUAUAUCGAGUAUAAUCAUAUUUACCACAAUAUAUGAUAAUGAUCAUACUAUGACAUAACUAGUUAAUAGAAUACUUGAGUUGUUAAGUCUAAUGUCUAAAUAAAGUUAUACAUGUAUAGAAAAUAGUCAAUUUGUUUAAGAUGGUUGAGAGAGCUUUAUAGUGAUGUUACUAUGUAGACGAGUGAUAAUAGGGUCCAAUAACUUGCUCAAGAUACACUUACAUAUCUAUCUCAUUAGUUAAGCCUUAUGACACAACGAUAUGUCAAAUCAAUUGUUGGAUACACAACAUUACUUGAGAUAUAGUCAUAAACAUCAAUAUUUCUCUUAUACUACAUUAUCAUGCAAAAGAAGAGUACUUUAAACUCUCAUAGGGCUGGGGAUAUGGGUAUAUCCCUAUAUUUGGAUCUCACCAAAAUAUAUAAUUUGUAUGAUCCAUUAGGAUUGCUUUUGCCAUCUAUGCAAGAGCGAUUAGAUGUCCUAUCCAUAGAUAAUAUAAGACAUUGUAAUUCAUAUAUUUUUUUUCCCAUAUAUAUAUAUAUAUAUAUAUAUAUGUAUAUAAUGUGGUUGAAUCUAUUGUUCAUGCAUUUUUUUUAGUUUAUUUUGGAUCCCCAUAUAUUUAUCCAAUUUAGUUAUUGAGCCACAAAUUAUAUCAGACUGUCGAGUAAGAAUAGCAAUGAGACAAGUCUUUUAAGUUUGUUUCAUCUCAAUUAUAUGUAUAAUUAAAUAAAAAAGAAUUUAAUUCAACUUUUUUUUUUGGGUUUUUUUAACACAAAAUAAAAAUAAUUUAUUUUUUAGUAAAAAAAAUUAUAAAAAAUUACAACAUUUUUUUAUUUAUAAAUUAUAAUCAUUUUAAUAAAAUAAAAAUCUUUAAAAAAAAUAAAUAAAUGGGGCUAAGCAAGUUGAUUCGAGAAUUUUCACUAUCCACCACGAUUUUCACAAUACAUUGUGACUUACUUGGUUUAUUUUUUAUUUUUGGAUCGAGGACGAGAAUUGAUUUAAGUAAUUGAGGUGGGAUUAGGAUGGAAGUGACAUGUUUUGUUUUCAUCAUUGAGUCCUAUCAUCCAAAUAGAGAAUUGAUGUUAUUUGGUACGGUACCGUCCAAAGCAAGAGCACCGUUUUCACCUUUUAACCAUUAUAAAGGUGUUAGCAUGGUUAUGAAUGCAUACUUUGACUAGAUCUAAGAUCAUUUGGAUGAUUGCAUAUCAUAUGCUAUCAUGUAUGGUGUACUUGUGAUGUAUUCAUUAGAUUGUGCUCUUUAUUAUAUGCAUUAAUACAAAUGGGUCUCACUCAUAUGCGUACAAAAGCCAUAUUGAAGUUAGUGGCUAUCCUAUUUCAACAGCAUGUAUAAAUAACUAAGCACAUCGUGCAACUGACUUAGAGACAUGAAAUUAUCGUAGAAAUUUAGAAAUUGUUUGGUAACUGUCUUUUAAAAUAAUUUUUUGUUCUUUAAAAUGAAAAAGUAAAAAAAUAUUUGAUAAUUAGAAAACUAUUUUUUGUUUUUUUGUUUUUAAAAAUAGAAAAUAAAGUGUUUUUAAAAAACGUCUUUUAAUUGUUUUUAAUUAUUUUUUUAUGUUUUAUGAGGAUUAUUUUAAAAAAUAAUUAUAUAAAUAUGUAAAAUAAUUAAAAAUAAAGUAUUAAAUAUAAAAAUUAUUUUUAAAAAUAUUAAAAACAUUUCAAGUUCUCAAACAAACUUUUAUUCUACAAAACAUCAUAAAAUAGUUUUUAAAGAUUAUUCUAAAAAAUUGUUUUCGAAAAUAGUUAUCAAAUAAGGUCUUAACAUGAAUAAACUUAUACCAAAGCAUGGAACAUAUUGAAAAAUUAUUUUGGUCGCCUUUAGGGAUGACAAUUGAGCGGGUUUGAGAUGAGACACUUUUAUCCCAUGCUCAUCUUAAUCAUAUAAUUAUUAUGAAAUAAAAGCUAAUUAAUUAAGUAAAAACACUCCAGAGGAGGGUGAAUUGAGUUUUAAAAUUUUUUUUUCAAAAACUAUUCUCAGGUUAUAUUGAAAAAAAUUAAUAGAAAUGAAGAGAUGAGAGUUAAAGAGAUUGCAAACUCAAAUUUUAUAGUAGUUCAUCCAAUUUCGCCUAUGUCCACUCUCCUUAAGUUUUUUCCAAGUGAGGGUUCUACUAGUAUGAAGCUUCAAUCAAGCUUUCAAGUCUUUACAAUUGGAUUUCCCGGCUCUAAUGAACACUACAAUCAAUCCUUCAAGUUUAUCCCCUACUUCAAGACUAAGCAUUCAACCUUACUUGAAUAAUAAAGAUUUAAAGCACUUAAAUCUAGCACAAUUAAUAAACAAGUACAAAAAAGACUAGGAUGAACACAAAGGUACACUAGAAAUGAAUUGCAAGUGAUAGCUUAAUAUACAAAUGAGAUAAUGAGAGCUUUGAAAGUGAGAAACAAGUAGGUAGAUAGUUUAAUGUAGGUGUUCUCUUAUUAAUAAAUGAAUAAGAGCUCUCUAUUUAUAAGUUUUUAACCUCAAGCAUAAAAGUACACUAAUAAACUUUUCUCAAUUGAGUUUCAAUCAAUUGGCUGACUAGUCAGUAGACAAUUAAUGUUUGACAGGUGAUUAUUAGAGAUUCGACUAGAACUUGACUGGGAAGAGGUACCCAUCGACUAAGAAGACAUUUCUCUCGGUCGGGAGAGUAAUCUUUUUGGAAGAAAGAGAAAAUUUUUGCACCCCUCAAUUGGUAUUUGAUUGAGAAAGGGUAACCAAUCAACCAAUUCUUUAUUUGGUUCAGUAGGUUCAACCCAUCCUCCACCUAUUGGAUAUAUUUUGUUCAAAAACCUAUCUUUUUCCAUCUUUAAUAAUUUUUAUAAAACAAAUUUGAGAAGUUUUUUUACUAAGGUUUUGGAUUAAUACUUGAGUUUAUAAAAAAAUACGAUUUUUUAAGUCUAAAACGAGUAUGAAAAAGAUGCAUUUAUGAAUUCAAAUUCCUAAUUGCACCCAAGUGAUCACCUUACAUUGAGUCUCUAUGCUUUGAAUAAUCUUCAUGCUCUUUUGAACUUGCAUCUCUUAGAUCGUUAACUUGAUUUCUCAUUUGAAUUAUUUGAUUAAUACUUGAAGUUUAUCUUGAUUUGAAAUGUUAGUAUACUAAGUUAUCAUCAAAAUAUAAUUAGGGAACAUUUAGGCCAACAAUUAUUUUUUAUACUUGUCCCAAACCCAAAAUGGGAUGGGUAGAAGGAUUCUCGUUAAACAUAAUAAUCUUGUUCUUGGCACACCCCAUCAAACUAUAUCUUUGAUGUACCUCCAACUCUAAUUGGUCAUGUUCUUUCUCAAGCUUUAGUUUUUUUUUUUGUAAAAUAAGUAAUAUAAAAAAAUAAAAAUUUUGAUUAUAAAAAUUAAAUUUAUGGUAUAUGAGUUAUGCAUCUCUUAUAUCUUAACUUAAAAUUAAUAUAGAUAUAAAAAAGAUAGUAAAUAAUAUAUCUCACUAUUCAUCAUAUAAUAUGUUUAAUCAAAUAUGAAAUAUGUCAAAUGAUAAAAUAACUAAUCAUAUCUCAUAAUCAACAAAAAAAAUAAUAUAAUAUUUCACUUUUUAUUCUAUCAUAUUUUAUAUCCCCAAAACAAAAAAUAGCUAAAGAGAGAGCAGAUAAUUGUAAAGAAGAUGAUAUGAUAAGGUUAGAGUGUUGAAAAUUGUAAAUAUGAUGAUAUGGAGAUAAAUAAAUAAUUGAUGAAGAAUAUGUUUGGGAGUGAUUUUAAAAAACGUUUUUAAUAUUUUUAAUAUUUAAAUAAUAAAAAAUUUUAAAUAUUAAAAAUAUUAAAUAAUUUUAAAUAUUAAAAAUGUAAAAAAAGGCUUCUAGAAUCAUGACUUUAAAUUUUGAUUAUCCUUCUAUUAGGUUUUUGGUAGGAAGAUGGUAGGGUUUGCUUUAACAUUAGAAGUUACAAUGAUGUUUCAACUUUGACGCCACACGUGGCGUUGGCUUAGCCGCUUUGGUGCUGUAAUCGACUAAUUUCUUUAGGUGAAAGUUUAAACCAUGUGUUCAGUUACGGCCACGUGGAACCAGCAUCCUCGUUGCAUAAACGCAUGCACUUUCUUCCCCGGACAUGCCGGACGAGUGAAUUUUAAGGAAGGUUCGAUGUUUUAGGAAAGUUUGAAAAAGCAUCGAACGGGAUUCUGAGAUUUUGAAUUCCCUUGAUGAACAAAAUCUAUACAAUUUAAAAAUCACGCAACAAAUCAACCAAAAGAGAAAUUCCAAAGAAUCCAAAUCCACUCAACCCAUCCAAACAAAAUAAAUUCACAAAAACGACUCACAUUUUGGAAUUCACUUCAUCAAUCUCUGCGAUGGGUGUUCCUCAGGCCAUGCAAACCCUAAGCGAGAGAGCAGCAUUCACGAGGGAGUCUCUGCAAAAGAGCCAGACCAUCACGGAUAGUAUGGUCGCCAUUCUCGGCUCCUUCGACCACCGCCUCUCCGCUCUCGAAACCGCCAUGCGUCCCACUCAGGUGUUUCUUCAUUUUCUCCUCGUUUGGUUUCCGUGAAAAAUUCAGGAAAGGACAAGAAAAUGGAAAGAAGAUUGCGGGCUUUAUGAGUUCUGUUUUUUGAUUCUCACAAAAUUUGGGUGGAAAAAAAACACAACAAAUUGUGGAAUCUAGGGUUUGCUUCCGUGUUCAUUCGAUUUGUGGGUUGAAUUUUUUUACGGCCACAAUGAAAUCCUCCUGACUGCUUGAUUUGAAUAAAAAAUUGUUAAAAGUGUUUUGAUAUGUUAAUUUGGAUUUGAUUUUGGUAGAUAAGGACGCAUUCGAUUAGGAAGGCCCAUGAGAAUAUAGAUAAGACACUGAAGGCGGCUGAAUUGAUACUGGCCCAAUUUGAUCUCACCCGCAAGGUUGGUGUCUCUUUCCGGCUCCUGUUUAAAUUGAUUUUAUGUCAUUCUUGAUUUCAGUUUGUCAUGUUGUGUAUAUUUUAACAUAGUUGAAAUUAUUAUGAGCUAAUGAAUUAUGCUUAUUGCUUCACAAUUAUGUACAAUGAUGAGAAGCACUUCCAGGACUCUGCUUUUAGAUUUUCAUUCAUCUGGUUUGUAAUACUCGAUCAAAAGAUUUUGCAUUUCCCCCCCUGUUCGGUUAACUGAGAGAACUCAUUAACAUUUAUACAAAAUCACAUGCAGAGACAAGUGUUAGGUGCAAAAAUGAGUUGCGGAUUGAGAAAAUAGCCCAUUCUAUAGCUUGGUGGUAACUGGUAUAUCUAUUUCAUGCUUUUAAUGUUUAUAAAUGAGACAUAAAUUGGGGGUGAGGCCAGAUAACAGGAAGGUAACCUCCUUAUUGAUUGUGGUUGUAUCACAAAAGAGGAACCUUCUCUAUCUAUUGGGUGAUGGAAUCAAUGUUUUGAAAACCGGACUGGGUAGUCUGACCGGUUGGACCGUCUAUUGGUCUUCUUCUUAAUCUAGGUAGCCUCUUUCAGCUGUUUUGAAGUUGAACUGGUCAAGAACCGACCAAACUGGCUAGCUGGUUUUACCAAAUUUGGCCGUUUUUACCAAAACUGUUCAUCUUGGAUCUCUUGUCUAAAAAAGAGAACUACUACAACAAUUGGGCUGCACCACUCUUUUAAAUAUAUUACGAUUUAAAUUCUUUUUUUUUAUAUUAUGAUUUAAAUAAUAUUAUCUACCGGCUUAAUAAAUCCAUAUAAAAUGAAAAUUUUGAAAUAAAUAUGAAAAUAAUUUAGGUUAACGAAUAUAAUAAUUUUUAAGAUGAUAGAAUGUAGAGUAUGUAGUUGUUGAAAUCUAGAUUAAAUAAUAAAAGUUUAUUUCAUUUUGGAUAUAUCUUUUUAAUAAUAAAAUAUUAUAAUUUGAUCUAUUAAUAUUAAAGAUAAAAAAGAUGAGGAAAAUCUUUAAGUUUGGGACAGGUUGUUCAACCCUAAUCAAACCAUGACAUUAACAUCAUAUUAUAAAAAUAUAUAAUUUAUAUAUUAUUAAAAUUUAAAAUAACUAUAUUAAUUUAUAAUUUGAUCUAUUAAUAUUAAAGAUAAAAAAGAUGAGGAAAAUCUUUAAGUUUCUUAAUAUAUAUAUGCCAUUAAACUAGAAAUGCAAUUGACACACAGUGUAUAACUAUACAUGGUCUAUUAAUGGGAAAUGUCACACAUUGGAUAGGGGAGAAAGUUUCUGACGUUAUAUAUGUAUGUGCUCCUCUUAACCUUGUAGACGUGUUUUAAAGUUAUGAGGACCCCUUUGGGUCCAAAGCGGACAAUAUCUACAUGGUUGGGUGUGGGUCGUUACAAAUGGUAUCAGAGCCGAUCUUUGAUCCCAGAGCAGGGGUUUGUUUGGACUCAUAAGGGGUGUUUGUUUGUUUGACCCUAUAAUCCCAUGGGUUACAACGAGAACGUUGUGUCUGUAUAAGGAAGUAUUCAUGAUGUCCUACAUCGGAUAGGGGAGAAAGUUCAUGACAUUAUAUAUGUAUGUGCUCUGCUUAACCUUGUAGACCCGUUUUAAAGCUGUGAGGAUCUCUUUAGACCCAAAGCGGACAAUAUUUACAUGGUUGGGUGCGAGUCGUCAAAAUUCCCACUAAUACACUGUGUGUAGUUAUACACCAUGUGCCAACUACAUUUCUGGUUUAAUGGCAUAUACAUAUUAAGAAACUUAAAGAUUUUCCUUAUUUUUUUUGUUUUUAAUAUUAAUAGAUCAAAUUAUACCUUAAUAUAGUUAUUUUAAAUUUUAAUAAUAUAUAAAUUAUAUAUUUAUAAUAUGAUGCUAAUGUCAUGGUUUGAUUGGGAUUGAACUACUUGUCCCACUAAUACACCGUGUGCCAACAACAUUCUGGUUCAAUGGCAAGUUCAAUUCUGAGAACGUUGGUUACAAUCACCUUGGACUCUACUAUUCUAGAAGUUUGAAAUAGGUUUUAACCAAUGUAAGGCUUCUCUAUUCAUCAAAAUUGUGGACCAUCCCAGUCUUUCCCCAUAUCUUUAUGCAAGCCAAAAAGAUUGCAUAGACUUUUAAAUUAAUUAAUAAACUAAAUGAUAACUAGAGUUUAUUGUUUUUAUUAAAAAAAUGUAGGUUGUGUUUUUUUUUUUUUUUGGUUAUUGGAGGGUGUGUUUUAUUGGUUAGUGGAGCUAUUAAAUUAUUGUUAUCUACCAGAAGUUUUUGAACAUUAAGAUAGUGUCAGUCUUCUCUUCUCUGAAAACUUCGAUUUUUCCUUAUUGCGUGUGGUGAUUAACAUCCAUUAUGUAUGGUAGCUCCAAAACAAUACUUCAUAGCACAUAUGAUCUGUUUCUCUAUGUUGAUCUCAAUUUUUCUUCAACUUUUAGGCGGAGGCUAAAAUACUGAGAGGGCCACACGAGGAUCUAGAAAGUUACCUAGAAGCAAUGGAUCAACUGAGAAGCAUUGUUCAUUUUUUCAACUGUAACAAAAGUUAUAAGAGCAAUGCUGGAGUGCUUAAUCAUGUCAAUAACUUACUUGCAAAAGCUAACUUAAAGAUAGAAGAGGAGUUUAGACAGCUCUUGACAUCUUACAGGUUUGUUCUUUUGCAUAUACUCAGUGUUACUAUUAUUUAUGAUUUCUUGGUUGGAACCCUGGCAAUCUCAUUCCUGGAAGCAUUGUGCUUCACAACAAAUGUUUCCUGACAUAAAUUUUCUGAGAUGAAUGAAAAUUGGUUUUUUAUUUAUAUUUUGUUUCUUGUGCAUGAAACAUAUUUUGGACUUUUGGCAAGUUCUAAUUCUUUCAAUCAGGGUUGAGUAACUGUCUUUUCAUUUGUAGCUGCUGAAGUUGUAUCUCUUUUGGAUUUCAGCAAACCAGUGGAACCUGAUCGCCUUUUUGAUUGCCUCCCCCACUCUCUACGACCAUCAUCAGGGUCUCCUGGGCAUCAGGGUGAAGCUACUGGCAAGAAUCCUUCUUCUACCAAUCACUCUGAGCACAACAAAAGCUUAGAAACUGCUGUUUACACUGCUCCAACUCUUAUUCCACCCAGGAUUCUGCCAUUGCUGCACGAUUUAGCCCAACAAAUGAGUCAAGCUGGUCACCAACAACAACUCUACAAAAUUUAUAGGUGAGAUUUUUUUAUUUUUUUUUAACUCUGUUUCUGAUGCAUUAACAUUGCCCAACAAUUUCUUUUCCUAGUAUCACGGAUUUUUAUUUUAUACACACACACACACACACACACACACACACACACACACACAUAUAAUAGAAAUAUAUUUGAGAAUUGUCAUCAUUGAAUCCCACUUCAAUGCUAUUUUUUGUUUUUAUUCUAUCUGUAAGCACAUGGUAAGCAAUCUAAAGUGAUUCUUGUUUGUAGUUAUCAUUUUUGUUUUGGAUAGGCACUUUGCCUGUAGUCAUCAUCAAUUUCUUCAUAAGCUGGGAAAAUUGAUAGUUAAUAUGUUUAUAAUCAUGCAGAGAAACCCGUGCUUCAGCUUUGGAACAGAGUCUCAGGAAAUUAGGUGUGGAAAAACUUACUAAAGAUGAUGUCCAGAAGAUGCAGUGGGAAGUUUUGGAGGCUAAGAUUGGAAAUUGGAUUCAUUUCAUGCGGAUUGCUGUAAGGGUUUACUAGGAACUGGAUAGGAUUAUUUGUGUGUGUGUGUGUGUGUGUGUGUGUGUGUACGUAUUUUCUCUUAAUCCAGCCAUUUCAUCAUGCUUGUAACAGGUCAAAUUGCUAUUUUCUGGGGAAAAGAAAGUCUGUGGUCAAAUAUUUGAUGGUGUUGAUUCUCUCAGGGAUCAAUGUUUUGCAGAAGUUACUGCAAACAGUGUAGCUGUGCUCCUUAGUUUUGGAGAUGCUAUUGCCAAAAGCAAGAGGUCCCCUGAAAAAUUAUUUGUUCUCUUAGACAUGUAUGAGAUAAUGCGAGAACUGCAUUCAGAGGUAUGAUUUAUAUAACUAGUUGCAUAAACACUGAAUUAUGGAUACUAAACUAGCCAGCAGAUUGGAAGUUGAUAUUGGUUAUGUGAAGUUUUAGUGAGCUGCUUCUAAGGUUUCCCAUAAUUUUGGAGGAAAAGCUUUGUUGCAAUUAAUGGAACCUAUAUGAAACUACUUGAGCUGUCAAUAGGCAGACAACAUAAAACAAUUUUCAUCAUUGCUUAGGAUAGAAAAUUUGCACUUUUUCCUCCAAUACCACUUGUCUCCUAUUCUUAAAAUGUGCAAGGUGCACCUAAGUUGGAAAAGUCUCCUAUGGCUUAGGCACGAGGUGCAGCACAAGGCAUGCACCUGAGUGAAGUGAAAUGCGAGUUAUGAUGUAUAGCAAUUUUAUAAAUAUGAUCCAAAAUCCAAUCCAAUCAACAAAAAACUUGAGAUUUCAAAUAUUUAAAAGAAGCAUUCAACAAAAAAGUAAUGAAAUAAUAUAAACUUCAAUAUAUAGUUAAAUUUUUUAAGAAUAAAAGUGUUUAAAAAGGAAGGGUAAAGUAGAUGAGGUGUGGCUCUCCUACAAAGUGCAUGCCUUGGCAAGUAAAGCACUAUAACUGGGGAUUAGUUUUGCCCUGAGCCUAGGCAUGCUUUAGGCGUGCCUGUUACAACUAUUUGUAAAUGAAUAGCAUAAAUAAAUGGCUUAAAGGGUUUUAACAACAAAGAUCAAAAUUCAGUUUGUUUCAUCACUGGACUAUUAGCAGAUAAUGCUUAAUUGCUACUAUGUCGGUUGUAAAAUGAAUUUGAGUGAUUCACAGCCACACCCACAGAUAUAUACACAUAUCAAGAAAUCAUUCUUGUUUGUUAUUCAUAAUUGGUUGUUCUAUUAAACAUGAAGUGUACUUUGGGAACAGAUGCAGAUUGAUAUACAUAUGUAUUGUUAAACUAAUGCAGAUUCUGUUUCUUUCUUCUUUUUUGCCCCUCUUGGGGUGUGGGGGUGGUAUUGGUGUUCAUGUUGGGGGUGAGUGUAGAUUGAAACAAUAUUUGAAGGUCAGGCCUGUGUCGAAAUGCGGGAAUCUUCAUUGAGUUUGACAAAGCGGCUAGCUCAGACGGCCCAAGAGACCUUUGGUGAUUUUGAAGAAGCCGUAGAAAAAGAUGCCACAAAAACUGCUGUUCUUGAUGGAACUGUGCAUCCUUUGACAAGCUAUGUAAUUAAUUACGUGAAGUUUUUAUUUGAGUAAGUCUAUAUAACUGUGCUGUCCAUCUCAUGCUGUUGAUCCUUUCAUAGACAGAAUCUAGUAAAAGUAUAUGUUGCCCUAUUAUUCCUUGAUAUGUUCAUCCACUUCCAAUGAAUUAUUUGUCUUGAUAGAUUUUGGAAAUGUUUCUCUGGUCUGUUGAAUUAUUCCUUAAGGUUUGUUUUUUUAUUUUUUUGGACUUAUUCCUCCUGACUAGUUCGUUCAUGGAUUUGAACAUUCAAAAUCCAUUAGUUUAUGUUUUCAAGUGUUUCAGUACUCACUUUCUGUUUUCUAAUGUCAUGUUAUUGCAUCUAUUCCCCUGUUUGGGUUAAUAUGCUUAUAUAGCUCUAUUGCACUUUCAUUUGGUAAUGUCUUGUUUCCAGAAUAUCUGACUAAUGGAUAUCAAAUGUGCACAGCUAUCAAUCGACAUUAAAGCAACUCUUCCAAGAGUUUGGUGAAGGGGAUGCUGAUGCUCAAUUAGCAUCUGUGACAACACAGAUUAUGCUGGCUCUUCAGAAUAACUUGGAUGGGAAAUCCAAGCAAUAUAAAGAUCCUGCAUUGACUCAAUUAUUUCUUAUGAAUAACAUUCACUACAUUGUCAGAUCAGUGCGAAGGUUUGUUAUAUCUUUUUAGCUUGAUUGUUGAUCUGAAUUUAUGCUGUGUAAAUAGUUUCUCCUUUUUAUUGUUCUCAUCCUUAGGUCAGAAGCAAAGGAUUUGUUGGGGGAUGAUUGGGUGCAAAUACACCGAAGGAUUGUACAGCAGCAUGCAAACCAGUAUAAGAGGGUAUCUUGGGCAAAGGUUUUGUUCUUUGACCAAACUUGAUAUAAAAUGUCCAUGAUUUGUUACUAUUUUUCCAGUGCAAUUUCUUUUUCUUAUUUAGAUGUUGUUUGUUUUUACCCCACAAUUCUACUAGCUUUAUAGAUGUGAUGUGUACCUCUCUAUUCCUGGAAUAUGAUCUUCUGAUCCUGUAUAAAUUUUCUUCUCCAUUGCUCACUUAGAACUGUCAUGAUACUGUUUGUUCUUCACCAAGGGUAAGGUUGACACACACAAAAGAUUCUUCUGUCUUUCCCUUAUUAUCUGGAUUCUGUUGAUGAGUAAGGGAUGACGGACAUGCUGGACACUAUACUGCCACAGACGCAUAAACAUAAGACAUAUUUAUCUUUCAAGUGUCUAUCUUAUGCACAUGGGUUAGUAGGCUUUGUUGAUAGAGCAGCAUGAUAAUUAUUGCGGCCUUCUAUAUGGUCUGGAUUUUUUGAAUUUAGAGCUUGCGUACAUUUAUGUAUGUUAAAUCUUCCCCAAUACUCAUUAUAUCUUUGUAUGCACUUAACUAGUUUCGUAGACAUCUUGAUACUGAUCUUCCUAAAAAUUAAGCUUCGUUGGGGAUUAUAAUUAGUUCUGGAUUGAGAAUCAUUUGGCAAUAUUUGCUGCUUACUCUUAUGGUAUAUAUCUCUAUAAGACAAAUUGCUUAUAGUUGUAGGUUGUUGGAAAUUGUUUGUUUCCAUUGAAUAAAUUGCAAGACUAUAAAUUUUAACCAUUGAUUGGACAGCAAUGUGAUAAAUGUCAUGCUGUAUUACAGUUUGGACAUGAAGCCCUUGUUUUGUUCAUGGUCCCUGAUGUAUCUUGAUAUUCAGCUAUAAAUAAAUACAAGAGGCAAAUAUUUGAGAAAGCCAUUGAAAUGUAGCCUUCUAAGAUUGUGUUGUACAGACCUACAUUAUUGUUUCUGAUUAGCAUCACUUCAAAUAUAUGCUUGAUUUUGUCUCACACUUCUGCUAGGAAAGUUAAGUAUCAAUCACGCUAAGCCACUGAUAUUUCUUGCUCUACAGAUUCUGCAGUGUCUGUCCAUUCAAGGUGCUGCUUCAUCAGGUGGUGGUGGUGCGAUUGCAGAAGCUGGUAGCGGCAGUGGAGUUUCAAGAGCGAUGGUGAAAGACAGGUACAAGACCUUCAACAUCCAGUUUGAGGAGCUUCAUCAAAGGCAAUCUCAAUGGACAGUUCCAGACAGUGAGUUGCGAGAGUCAUUGAGGCUGGCAGUUGCUGAAGUUCUCCUACCUGCCUACAGAUCUUUCAUUAAACGUUUUGGGUAUCUGUUUUCUCACACUCGUGACCUGUUCUUCUAAAAUUCCUGUUGCUUCCUUAUCCCUUGAUUGUUCAAAUGUGGUUUGGGUGUUACAGGCCUAUGAUUGAAAAUGGGAAAAACCCGCAUAAGUACAUCAGAUACACUCCUGAGGAUCUUGAGCACAUGCUGAGUGAAUUCUUUGAGGGGAAGACCCUGAAUGAACUAAAGCGGUAAAUAUACUCAAGAAGCUCUCAGUCCAUGUGAUGGCUAACACUGUUUUAUUCUUUGUACUAUGAUGCGAUCAAAUAAAAGCUGGGGUAGCCUUCCUUUCCCACUGAACGCUUUUAUUAGUGUUCUGAAGUUCUGUUGUUAUUUAACUUAUUCUUAUUUUUAAACUGCUGAAGUAUAUUUUCUGACUAGGUAACUUGAAGUAUGACUUAGCUAUAUGGGUUUAUUCUGGUAGAUUUCUUUGGGCAGAAUUUGGGUAUAUCCAAACUUAAGGCAUACCCCAUCCUGCUAAAAAUUUGUUAAGAUUUGGAAAUAGGGUAGAAAAGAAAAAAAAUAAAAUAAAAAAUAUAUAUAAAUAUAUAUAUAUAUAUAUGGGAGAAAAGUCAUGUUUUUGUUUGAUUAUGGAUAAAAAUGGGAUGUAAAAAUUGAUGAAAAUUUGAUGCAUUUUGUAACUCUUCAUUUUGUUCUUGGAAAGUGAGAGAAUUUAGGAGAUGAGUAUCGGAAAUUUUAGCAAAUUCAAAUAUAGAAUUUAUUUUCUAUCUUGUUAAUUUUGCAUUUAUAUUCUUUUUUUACUGAACCUCCUUUAUCUUUUCUCUUACAUAUACUAAAAAUAAAUACAGUGGAGAAGGAAAAAAGAAUUAAGUAAAUAAGAUACGAGUUCAAGAACCAAAAAGCCAUCUUUUUCCAUUACAUCUCACCAUUCAAAAAAGAAAAAGUAGAAUUUUGGGAACCUAAUUUCUUUUUUGGAAUAUUAAGCAAAGCAAAAUGGCAAUGAAAAGAGGUUUAUGUUUUAUAUUCUGUCUUUCCUAACCCUGAGUACAUAUGUUGGUGUGUGUAAAUUUGUGGCCUCUAGAUGCAAUAUAGUGUGCCUUGUAUGAAAAAUAUAAAUGUUAGCCCAAGGGGUUCUCCUAAUCAAGUUUUGAUGAUAACAAAACAGGUCUAAAGUUACUAAGGGUUAAAUCAAGUUAAUUGCUUCAAGUUUUCUUGAAAAAUUAAAGAAAGUUCAAACAACUCAAAUAGAAGAUUCUUGUUAAUGGAAAUUUGAGCUUAUUGAAGACUUAAGAAGGCCUAGGAACAAUUGUAAGGUUGUAUUUAAAGAUGAUGUGGAAUUUAAAUGAUUUAAUCUUGUUUUCUAUAUCAUCUGAAUCAAAAUUUCAUCUUCUAGUUAAACUUUUUGAAGAAAGGAGUCAUCACUUGAACAUUUUUUUAUUUGGUAGUUAUAACUUGAACUGUUACUAACAAAUUGAAAGGACUCACAAUAUAUUUUAAAUUUUGAAAAUGACCAUGUUCAUGUUACAACUUGCAGUAUAAACAAUUUGCAAAGCUUAAAAGAUGAAGUAGAUUAAUUCAAUUUUUUUUAGGUGAUCGUGAAUGCUUCCUAAUUAAAUUUCCUUCUUGUAAACCAUUUUAAUUAUGCUUCCAGGUGCAAAUAAAAUAUCCUCUGCUGCUCAUAACAGGUUCUUAUAGUCAUGAUUCAAUAAAUGUUUGUAGAGACCUAGUUCCUUUUGAGGAAGUGGAUUGCAACAUGGCCAGUGAUGUAAGAGUAACUGGUGUUAGAACUGAUGUUGAGGCAAACUGUUCCUGUUAUGCACAUGGUGCCAAAAAGAGAGUUUGGGAGCCUCAUUGUCUUCACUGAGGUCCAAAGAAGUGAAGGAAAGCCAUCAAAUUGGCUGCCAGUUAGAUUCCAACUGGGAUAUUGUUUCGGGAAAUGGUAAAAUAGAUAAUGCAUGCUUUGCUGGAUGCUCCUUGGGAGCUACUAGAAAUGAAUCUUUGGCUGAAUUUUCCCUAGGGAUAUUCUGGCCAGGAGCUAUGUAGAGAAGAAUGUUGAAGAUCGUAGGCCACUAUCAAAAGAGCAGCUCGGUGCACUUGAGUCAUUAAAAUUUUUAAUGCACUUAAGCUUUUAAAAAUCAUCCUUUCUUGAACUUAAAUCAAUCACAUCUUCAUCAGGUCAGAUGAUUUCAUGUUUUUUUAUCAAACCCUGAUUUUAAUUCUUUCAAAAUAUGCAUUAAAGGGUUUAUAUGGUGUGUAAGAUUCUUUCCCAGAGGUUUCUGACCUCGGUCUAGCCUUUUUUCUUUAGUUAUAGUGUAACUGGUCAAGACAGGGAGGAAUUGGUUGAGCCAAAAAGGCUCGAUCAGUCAAGGUGCACAAAAUGCAUCUCUAACUUCUAGUAGCAUUUUUUAACUGGUUACGGUAGGAGGCUCAACCAGUUGCUCAAUCGGUUGAGGUCUAGAACCCCAACAGUCACCUGCAAGUACAUUUAAUGUACAAUUGCCAAUGAACUAGUCAAACCGAUUGCUUGACCAAUCAAGCCUAAGUUAUGGGUUCUUGGGUUUCAGAGCUACUCACCUAUAUAUUGAGUCUUUUAAGAGCAUUUAUGAACAAGAGAUUUUGAAAUUGGGAUAAUUUCCAAAUGGAUUUUGAAAUCAUAACUUGAAUUUCCAAAUCAUUUCGAAAUGGUCCUUCAGCCUUGUGCAGUUGUCUUCAAAUGACCCUAACUUCUUCAUUUUAGCUCCGAUUUAUGCACCGUUUGAAGCAUUGGACUCUUGACUUCCCGAGCUUUGAAACAAUCUAUAGCUUGCCCAAAAUUGACCUUGGGAAGUGCUUCAGAUUUUACCUUAAAGUCAGAGUAUGUGUUGCUGCCAGAUUUUGAAUUCUAAAUUUCCAUGUCAACUUGAUUGCAUUUGUUUCAAACCUCCUCCAUUAUAGUUGCUUGCCCUUUAUCUCACUCCAUAACAUCCGUUGCUAGUAUUUUAUGUCUAUGAGUCACUCAUCACGCCCUUGCUUGGACUCGUCAUGGUUCACAAGUCCUGAAUCUCUUCUUUAUGCAUGUUUUACCACUUCUACUUCCUUGGAUGAUAAUGAAUUUUAUACUCAUCACAUUUUUCAUCCCUUAAACCUGAAUUAGGCUCAAAAUAGAAGUUAGAUCCAUAACUAGGGUCUUAGCAUCAAUUUGAUUUAAGUUGGAUGAUUUGAGUUUUUUUAUAUUCCAUAAAUCAUGUCAUAUAUGUGCUAUUGGAGCACAUAUUUUGGCUCUAAUCAGGUCUCAAGUUGUCUCCUCGAGCUUGGUUUGAUUGUUUUACCAAAGCCGUAAAGAGGUUUGGCCAUUCUCAGUGUCAAUUUAACCAUACUCUAUUUGUAAAACACACACCUGAGGGAAGAACUGUCGUUAUCAUCGUUUAUGUGGAUGACAUAAUUCUGACCAGAAACCAUAGGGAAGAAAUAGGCAAACUCAAGAGUUUUCUUACCUAUGAAUUCAAAAUUAAAGACUUGAAGAGUCUUAAAUAUUUUCUUGGGAUGGAAAUUGCUAGAUAAAAAUAAGUAUUGUAGUCUCCCAACAUAAGUAUGUUCUAGACUUGCUAAAGGAGACUAGGAUGCUUGGUUGUAAACCUACAAACACAUCUAUGGACCACACUAUUAAACUAGGAAUUAUUGAAGGAAGUUCUCUAGUGGAUAAAGGGAGAUAUCAAAGAUUUGUGGGGAAACUCAUCUCUCUCUCACACACAAAACCAAAUGUUGCUUUUUUUAGUCAACGUGGAUAGUCAAUUCUUGAACAAUCCAAUUGAGGAAUAUAUGAAAGUUGUGUAUCGUAUUCUAAAAUAUCUCAAAAUGACUCUAGGAAAGGGACUUUAUUUCAAAAGAGCACAAAAAAGAAACAUUGAAUUUUUUUCAAAUGUAGACUAGGAUGGUUCCGUAACCGAUUGAAGAUCAAUCUCAGGAUAUUGCACCUAUGUAUGGAGGAAUUUGGUUACUUGGCGAAGCAAGAAAUAGUCUAUUGUAGCUCGAAGUAACGCAAAAGUAGAAUUUAGAGCUAUGACACAUGGAAUUUGUAGAGGAAUGUGGUUAAAGAGACUCUUAAACAAGCUGAAAAUUUUAGUAGAAGAUUCUGUAAAGAUGUUCUGUGACAAUCAAGUUGUCAUAAUUAUUGCUAAGAACCUGGUUUAUCAUUAUUAGAAGAAGCAUGUAGAAAUAGACCGUCAUUUUAUAGGGAGAAGCUAGAAGAAGGGAGAAUUUAAUUGGUUUACACUCCAAUAGCUCUCUACAUACCAGACAUCCUUACCAAGGCACUUUCUAGAACCAACUUUGAAGAUUUGAGAUUCAAGUUAGGAAUAAUCAACAUUUACAAUCUAGUUUGAGGGGAUGUGUGGAAAUUUAGAAUUUACAGCUGGGUUAACAACCAUGUUAUAGCUACAACUAUGUUACAAUUAUAUUAUAGUUGUGUGAUAGCUAGGGAUUCAAAUGUUGUUUUUUGUUUCAGCGAUAUUUUGUCGAUAUAUCGUGUAUGAGUGUAGCUUGACAUGAUAACGGGCAUGGAUAUCUCGACUGAGAGAGAGAUCAUUUUUUCUUGCCAUUUAUUGAGGGUUUUUUUGGCAAAGUUCCAGAUUUGCACCAAUAUUUCAGAUAUAUCAACAAUUUUCAGCCACGUUAGCAUGUUGUGUCAGCGAUAUUUUUCAGCUUUUACUUAAAAUUUUUGAAAUAUGGGCCUGAAGUAAGAGACACCCAUUUUUUUUGUGACAACUGAUGGAGCCUAAUUUUACAUGUGAUGAUACUUGGGGCACCAACACUUCAAAUAUGGGAAUGUUUUCUCUUCACUUUCAUGCAAGUUAGGGAAUUGAUCUUGAGACCUUAAGAAUGAAAAGGUUUGUCCUUGCCACCAAACUAACUAUACUUUGCUUAUACAAGCACAUAUUAAAAUAUAUAUAUAUAUAUAUAUAUAUAAAUUACUUAAAAUAAAAAAAAAUGAGUUAAUUUUAAUUAUGUCUUUUAUAUAAUAAUUAGGUAUAAGAUAAAUAUAAACUUAUAAAUAAAAUUAUCAAUAUUUUUAAAUAAAAAAUACUAACAUAUCAUCAUUUCUUUUAUAUCAUUUGAAUAUCCAAACUAAAUAUAUUAUCAUUUUAGUUUUUAUGUAUUAUCAAAUUCAAUAUAUUAUUGUCAAAUAUUAUAAUUUGUUUUAUCGAUAUUUUUAUAUUAAAGUUUCCAUCAAUAUUUCCUUAUAUAUCCCGAUAUAUCCAUAAAAUCUAACUACUGAUAUAUCCAUGAACACCGAUAUUUUCAUCCUUGGUGAUAGUUGUGUUAUAGUUGUGACACAACUGUGUUGUUGUAUUUCUAAUUUUAACUUACUCCCUUAUUUUAUUUUGUGAGAGAUUUUUUCUCCUAAAAUAAAAAAUUAGAUUUCUUUUCUAAGGCAGAUGACCUCAAUCGUUUGUGCAUAAAUAUUGGUACUAUAAUCAAUUUGCAAUAUAGAGAAAAAGUAUUUUUUUCCCUCAAAUUUCUUUAGUUUUUAUAGAUUUCUUGUUACAAGUUUAGACUGUUAUGAUAGUUUUAAAUGUGUGGAUGGUUUUCUUUUCCUUCCAUAGAAUAUGGUAUAUGAAAUGCGCAAGUUUUCUAUCUACUUUUGGUAUAAUUUGUUUAUAUGGAUAUGGAUUAACCAUGUAGUACCACCUACACUAUUUCAUCAGUACUAGUGGAAUAUGGUAUUGACUCAUAGCUGCCAUCAACAAUUCAUUCCACUAGCCAAAUCACCCAUAUUGUGCCAUCAAUCACAGGUUCCUCAAGCAUGUUGAAGUGUCUAUUAUAUGUCUUAUAGCAUACUGUCAGAAAUGUAAUUAUAAUAGGAAAUUAUUUUGUUGAGUGUUUUUUCUAUUAGUUUUUCUUUUUUUUUUAGUUAAAUUUUUGUUUCCAUUGGGACUUGAACCUGGUAGCUCCCACAAACCCUCCCCAACCCUUUACCACUUGAUUCCAGCCCCAAGGGUGAGUGUUUUCUCUAUUAGUUAUUACACUGUCGAGGACAUUUGACUUAAGAUACCAUCUUGUAAUGUAAACCCAUCUUAAGUCCUCUUCUAGUUCUUCCUAAUACAUUGAGAAAUUCCUUUUUCCACUAGAUGCAGGUUUUUGAAUUCUGCAUGAAUAAUGAUUGGUACCAUAUUAUGUUAGGCGAUUGGUACCAUAUUUGACCUUAGAAUCCCUCCUCCCCAUCUACCUGCAUGAUUUAAGGAUUAGAGAGUGCAACUGUGACAGUUUUGUGCUUUCAGUGGAGAUGCUAUUAAUGAAGUUGGUCCGCACUAGUAAUAGGAUGACCAAUAAAUGCAUUUUGGGGUGAGGUCAAAUUGAAAACUGAAAACAAAUCCAUCUCUGGCAGCUGUCUUGCCUUACUUUUGCCAAAAAAAGCACCCAUUUCCAUGCUGAAGCACCAGCUACUACUGUAGAGGGCCUCUAAUCUCCAUACACUAUGUGAGCAACUUAUAAUCAUUGUUUCUGUUUCUGUUUCAUUGUAAAUAAAUUCCUAAAAUGAUAUGGCAAUAAUUUUGUUUGUGAGUCAUAUUCUAGGCAAUGAAGAUCACAUGAAUGAAAUGAAGUUAUUACAAAGUUAGAAAACAGUGGUAAAGAUAAGGUUAUCUCAUGUUAUAAUAUAUGUGCACACAAAUGCAUUUUAAUGAAAAAGUGACAUAUCUGAUAAAAGAAAAAGGAAAUCUUUUCCCGUUGCCCCUUCAUCCAUAGUCCUUUUCUUGGCAAAUAGCAAUGCACUCAGACCAAGCAUAACUGAGUCAUAUCUUAAGUUACCUAUAUAUGUAGAUGCAUACACAUUCUAUUUUCUUUGGAGAUGUUUUGAAUCUCCAGAUCACUGAAACUCUCUCUUGCUUUUGGUUGGUGCUCUGAGCACCUUGUUGCUGCCAACUCAACAAACACUAAAAAGAUGACAAGAUGAUUUUGAUGGUUAUUUACUAAGCUUGCAGUAAGAUAAGGACUUUUCUUUUUAUUACCUUUCCUUCCUAUUUGGUCUGUGAUUGACAAGGAAAUAAAGAUAGUUCUUGAUUAUAAUCAGGAGUGUCUUUUUCCUUCUUCAAUCUCAGACUACACUUUAUUCUUCAUUUCUAUUUGCCUCUUUUUGACCUAAGAAUCUCUCUCUCUCUCUCUCUCUCUCUUUCUCUCUCUAGUGUGUUUUUUGAUUUCUAAUGAAUAUCACACUCUGAGGAGAAUGUCUUGAAGCUGAAUGCCUCAAGUAAAAGGGAUGAUUCAAAAUAGACAAUUACUACUUGAAAAGGCUCUCAUAAGAAAAAAUGCAUAUCAGAAGCAACAUCAAGGACACUGCACUUAUAAAUGCUUUACAAUAAUAUUAGCUGGGGAAGAAGUGGCAUCGGCAAAGUGGAAAGCAAACAAUUUCUGCCUGAUUUUGGAUGCAGAAAAUUUGGUUAUUUUUUAGAAUUACUAGAGAUGGUGUCAUUGACAAUUGAGGGAAAGGAAACAUUGGAGAGAGCAGCUUUACCUAGAUGCUUUAACUGCUAGCAAAACCAAAUACUCAACCAUAUGAUGUUGCUCAGGUGAAUGCUGAUCUGAAACUCAAUAUGACCUGAUAAUUCUUAGUUCCGUCUUAUCUAUUGUCCUGUAUUUUUUUUUUCUUUUUAUAAUGCAAAUUGAAUAUUCUUUGUUGACUGAUAAUUUGAUAGAUGUCUGACAUGUCAUGAGAAAACACCUGCUGAGAGAUCAAGCAGGAGAACAGAGAGGAUCCAUGCUGUGCUUUGACCUCAAGAACCAAAGGAGUUUAGUAGUUGGAGUUAUUGAAGAAACCAAAAAAAAAAAUUAUGGUGAGAACAUGGAAGAAAAGCAUAAGUUGCAUGAUUCUAGGUUUCAUUGACAGGACAUGAUUAUUAAAUUGGAGAAAGAAUUAGAGGCUAAGUUAUUUACACUAGACAUAUAGCACAAAUGGUUAAGUUUUCUUAAUCUGUAAAAAAGUGAUAAUAUCCUUAUAAAUGUCUCACAUUUGAUCUCAUGUUUAACUAGUAAAUUUCAAGAAAUUAGUUAUAAAUCUUCCAUUGAGAUGCAAUUAUAUUGAUAACAUUUUGCCUUUAUAUUUGGUUUGCUGUAGAAUUACUUUUUAUAUCAGAAGUUGGUGGAAAAAUGAUAUUUCUCUUUCUGGGAUAAGGACAUGGUAACAUUCUCCCAACUUCUGCCUUAGAUCCUUUGGCUGCUUCUGUGUUUAAUUGAUGUUAUGAAUGAUGUAAUUGGGGAGGGUAAAGUAAAUUGGAUUGUAACAAUAAUGACACAACUUUGGCGCUCUCUCUCACACACAGAUGCUCGGUUGCUCACUCACUCAUAUGUGCAUGCUCACAUGCACCGAUAGGUUUUUAAAUGUUUAAUGCUAUUAUAUUUGACUAGUUUGUUUAAGAAUUUAAUUUUACUAAUAAUUGUCUCUCACGUGCUUGUCCAAUAUUUAUAUGUAUAUAUCUGUAUCUCAGGCACACAUAAUUAGGUUGAUUAAAGGUUUGUUGCUACUAUAUUUGCUUUGAGGUAGGUUUUCUUGGCCUUCAUCUUUGUCCCUUAGCACCUUGAACUUGAAUCAAAUCACUCCUCCCACUCUAAUUCAUUUUUUUCCAUUGCAGCCCACAUUCAAAAUACCAAAGCCUUGCAAAUUGAAGGUGAUAGACCCAGGUAAAUCUUUGCACUGAUUCUGUUUCUCAUUAAUAGUGAAUCUCUGUCAUCCAUCACUACUCAAAGAGGUUCAUAUGUUUUUGCUUUUUCUUCAAGUUUCAUAUUGUUAUAGGGUUUUAUUUGUUCAACUUAGUCAAAAAUUUCACUUGCUUAUUCUGUUAGAUUCUUACAUCAAUGGAAAUUUCUGGGUGAAAGCAUACUUCGCCUGCUCAGCUUGCCACUUGGGGCAGCCACUUCACUCACAGAUUAGCAUUUCAGGUUAACAAGUUGAUAGCUGUGUUCCAAUCAUGGUUAUUGAUUUUGAACUACUUCAAGCAGGUUAGCUUUCACUAGUAAACCUUAUUUGCUAGAGCCAAUGGUAUCAUAAUAUGUUAGAUUGCAAAUUGUAAGCUUUGGUGAAGGUGUCUUCAAUGCUGGAUGGCUUCUUUGUGUGCAGAGACCAAUACAGGUCUGAGUUCGCCAGUAACUCUCAUUUGAAAGCAAUCGGGGCUAUGGCAUCAUCAUAGCCCUCUCCUCGAUUAAUGGCCAUACUAAAUUGCUUAACAUAGUCUUGUACACUUUCCCUUUCAUUCAUUUGGAUAUUAAGGAGGGAAGAAUCCAUGUCUCUUCUUUGCCGAAAAGAACACAUAUGUUGAGCCACAAUUGUUGUGCACAAUUUUUAAGAAAGAAGAAAUAGACCCGCUCGAGAGAUUAUGGAACUAAAUGAGGGGUGGGCUUUGCAGACUUGUUGGGAAUGCGUUGCAAAGCCCUGCAUCAGGAUGAUGAGCUGACAAAAAUGCAUUAAAUGGUCAACCAGGUCUCCCAUGCCAUAAUAUGGAUGUAAUUUUGGAAACACAAACCUGGUUGGGAUUCUUGCAUUAGUGAACAAGCUGUUGACUAAGCCCCGAAUGAUUUGACUCACAAAUUGUUGUCUUCUUCCUAUUCAUAGCAUCCUUUGAAAAUCAUCCAACUGCUCUUCAAUAGUGCCUUUUUCCUUGAAGGUAUGAAUAGCCUCAUUCCUUACCAACUUAUCUUCUUCCAAGGUUGGGGGUGACUCUUCUCGGUGAGAUUGAUUUGUCUCAUGCAAAACGAUAGUGUCAAGGGAGAAGUAGAACGAUAGGAGUGUAACAAUGCUUGAAGCUCUUAAUUGUCCCUAGCCAAAGUAUCCUCUAUUUGAGAUAGAGAUUGCAUUCUUUGCUCAAGCCGGAGUUGUUGUUGCUCUGGCCAUAACUGUAGUCGACAAAGAGGCUCUUCCCCUGAAGGGCCCUUUCCAUUGUAGUGUAGGGAUGCAACUUGGCUAACCCGACCAACUUGAGGUUUGAGUUGGCAUGGGUAAUAUGUGAAGGGUUUGAGUUAGAAAAAUACCCAAAUCGACGAUAUCAAGACGGGUGAAACCUGAACCCAUGUUUUAUUUAAAAUAUGAAAAAUAUAUAUAAAAAAAGGAUGAUAGAACUUUAUCCUUUACCUUUUACAAUUGUAGGAUACUAAUAAGUUUAUCAUUUUUGUUUAAUUAUUUAAAUAUUUUUAACUUGAGUUUAGAGUUAUUAUUUAUGUUAAAUUAGCAAUUAAUAAAUAUAUUUGAUUGCUUUAAGACAUCUUUGGCAUUUAUGGUUGAUAUUUUAUAACUUUGAAAUAAAUAUUUUAUUUAGCAAGAAACUCUAUUAUAGGUCUUUUAGUUGACAAUAUGUAUGAGAACUUUUAGAAAUUUGAGUUGUCUGUGGGCUUAGCAUGGGUUGAGAAUUCCUGAAAACUAUUUCCAAAUCUCCAACAUUUUCAAAAAAUUUAAUUGAAAGUUGUCUUACAAUUCCAAUUGAAUUUUAAAGUUGUUUUUUUCCAAAACAUUUUUCCAUAUUUAUAUUGAAAUUUUGUCUUCAAUGGACAACUUUUAAUUGAUGUUAUUUCAAUUGAUAUUAUAAAAAAUAAGGUGGUAGAUUUAGAAAUAAUUUUUAAAAUAUCAAAUUUUAAUAAAUAUUUUUUUUUUCAAAAAUCUGAUAAACAAUCUCAGCACAUGAUAACCUUCCAAUCCAUCCUACUUAAGUGCUAUGGGUGUUGUGGUUGGGAUGUCACUGAAAUAACCUCCGUCCUCUCUCAUUUUUGCGGCCGGUGGUUAUUCUCAUUGACGGUGCCAAGACAUUGAGUAUUUUCUCUUCUUUCUGCUCGAUUUUAUAGAUAUUUUGGGAACAAGUUACCAAGUGGUAAUAUUAUGGGUAAUGGAGUGAGAGUGGUAGGAUCAACCACAGUCAGCUGGAUGCCCAUAUCUUUGACAGAUGGUAUUCCUCAACUAUGUCGGGUUCCUAGCUUUGUACCCCUUCUAUCUAGUACCUACAUAAAUUCUAAUUUUUUACAAUUUUUAUUGAGUUCUAAUAUUAGUCAAUUUUUAAAGACAACUGAUGUAAAAAUAUUUUUACCAAGUUUAAGCAACUGAUUAGAGGUAUUUUUUGUAAUUUAUUUUGAAAGGCUAAUCAUUUUUAAAAAUAAUUUAUAAAUAUAAAUAUAUUAUAUAACCAUCCUUUUAUGUAAAAAUUUUUUUUUUUUUUUUUUAAAGUAUCUGUUCUAUUUCUAUUCUUUUAAGACCUUUACUUCUCAAUGAAAGUCCACUGGACUGUUAGUAUUUUAAUGAAAUUGUUGCAGCUCUUUGUUUCCUGGAUUGAAGAAUGCUAUUAAUUGUCCAGGUUUUGGUCUUUAUAUAUAUUUUUUCCCUUAUGUGUUGGUUGAAUUUUAGGUAUAUAAUGUGCAUGUUUGCAUAUUUUCAUAAUUGUCAGAAUAAUUCUAUAAUUUCUUGUUCACAUGGAGUCUAUCUAUACCAUUUUCAUUAUACCAGAAAAUUUCUAAGUUGCCCUCGUAGUUGGUAUAUAAUUUACAUCUCUUUUUAUAAUCAAAAUUUAGUAGCUCUCAAAAAAGUUAUAUUUAUUGGCUUAUCUUCAACUUAUGUUUUUUAUUUUCUUUUUUGGUUAGGUUUUUCCAUAUUCUCAUGUGUUAUUUCUUCUACUUUACCUAGUAAAGGUGAAGGCACCUUGAGCACUAGGAGAUGGGUGCUUUUACCACUCAUUAGUCAUUUCCAUAUUAAAUAUAACAAUAACCUGAUGCAUGUGGUUCUGAAUCAGAUGUUUAUGUAAUGAUUAGCAAAGCAAACACAUUAGACUCUAAUCAUUGCUACCUGUGAGUCUAUUUGUUCAAAUAAUUACGAAUAGGAAGCUUAAGCCUCACAAGACACAGUCCUAUUGCUUCACUAGAUGAGAAAACCUUCCUUGCUAUAUGCAAGCCAGUAUUGGAGUGGCUAUUUGUCUACUAACCAGAUUCUUCAAGACCUCGAAUUCUAAGAUUAUAGGUUUGGCUAAUAAAAAGAGUCUGCCUUUGGAUAUGUCAUUCAUUAAUUGACAGAAGUAAGCCUUCCAUACAAGGAAAUAUAUGUGUGCGCCUAUAUAUUUAGAGAUAUAUAUUACAGUUGCAAUAAAUCUUAGGCAUAUUGAGAACUUUUUAACUAGUGUUGAAUUUUUGAUGUGGUUACUUUUGUUCCAGAUUAACAAUAAGAAAAUCUGUGCUUUAUGAUGCUGGUACUCUUGUUGGUAUGUAUUUCCAAGAGUCAAACCUGUGACUUCCAAAUCUUAUGAGAAGUACAUGUUAAAUUAUCAAAGUUCAGCUAUUUUUUCUUCUUUUAUAUAUCUUGGGGACAAAAGGAAGUGUUUGUGCAACGUAGUGUGCCUUCCUGGAAAAUUUGCUCGUUUUAAAAUAUCAUUGAUAGUAUGGUUAUAUCAAGAAACUAUCUUUUCAACUUAUAGCAAAUAAGAGACAUGAAUCUUUUUCUUUUAUUUGUUACACCUAUGAUCCAAUCUUACAUGGAACAUAAAUCACUAGCAUAUCAGACAAUGGAGCAUAGAUUGUUAUGAUAUGGGGAAUGGAAAUGAGUACACAAAACAGUAUAUAAACUGGAACGUGGUAAAUCAGGUUAGGCUUAAAUGGUCCAUCGAUUGGUUAUUAAAAAUUAGAUUGUUGUAAGAUAAAUGCAAUAAUACCUUUUUUUUCCCAUUUCUAUAGAAGGGGCUAUAUGUUGGUAGUUCUCUCUCCUUUUUGGCAACUUUUUAUUUUUUCCUUUAAAAUGGAUUGACCAUGUAAUGCCACAAAACUACUUAUUUCAUAUUUCUGUUAUUCUUUUGGUAUGUUAUAACUGUUGAUCCAGUUUGCUUUAAAGACUUGUAUCCUCUUGCAUUUUGUUAACUAUUUGUAAUCUUGUUUUGUAAAAUUCAAUGAUAUAUUAAGGUUUAGUUUUUGACCUCUUCAAGCUUGUUUUCUAAUUGUUCAUUUUUCUUAGCUCUUUUUUGAAACCUUAAGCCCGCUUCCUUGUUUUUCAGCUAGUUUCAUUUGGAAAUCUACAUCCCCACCUAAAGCAAAAGCCUUUUGUAUGGUCAGUGGCAAAUAAGCAACACCAACAAGAAGCUAUAGGUGAGCAGGCCUUAUAAAGGUUUUUGUUUAAAUUGUGUUUAUGUGCUUGUGGCAUGGUGAAUCAGUUGGUUAUAACUUUCUUCACUGCCUAUUUGCUUUAGGGAUUUGUUAUAAGUUGUUUGCAUAGCUGGGAUAGACAGGGUUUCUCAGAAUUUUGACAAAUAGGAUGAUUAUCUCUUUUAAGGAGUUUGGGAGACUCCCUAGAGGUGGAAUUCUUCGGUAAUUGGUGAGCCUCACUUUGAUUUGGAUAAGGUCAAUAAUUUUGUCAAGAAUUCGGUUGAUUUAUUUUCUUCUCUAUGACUUUAUAUUUUUGAAGCUUUGAACAGGUACUCCCUUGAAUCGCAUUUUGCUAUAUUGAAACGAAGCAGUACCAAAAUUUUUAUAGGAGUGAAGUGAGUUGAGCAUGUACAUGUUUGUCCUGUAGAGGGAGUGUAUGUAUGGAGUAAACUUUUAUUCUGAGGAGAUUUUUUCCAUUGAUUUACACGUGUGUGUGUGUGUGUGUUUGCAUUUAAUGGUUUGUUUAGUUGUCUGUUUCACAACAACAGAGAUAGGUUUCAUCUUGAAGAAUGCUUGCUGCAUGUAUUACUGAAAAUUCCAAGUACCCUAUUUCUUGAAUAAAAUUGAAGGAGAUAUUUUUUUGAGGGCUUGAUCAGCAUGGAAACAAGUAUCUUUUACUAGCUUUAUGGUGUGGUUGUGAGCAAUUGAGAUAGGAUCCGACUGAGAUGGUCCAGUUUUAGUCUGGACAAACCAUUUUGCCCCAGGUUUCGCUUUUCAAAAGCCAAGGUUUUGGAAACUGAUGUGCACCUUGUAAAUUCUAAUUAGUAUAUUGAACAACUUUGAUAAGAUUCCCUCUCACAAGCAAAGGGGCCCUACUGUAUUGGACUCCAUCAGGCUGAUUAAGACCCCCAGAAUGGACAUUAAAAGAGACGCUUUCAACUUAUUGGACGUUGAACUUACUUUUUGAUUGCAAAAAUGAAGAGGACCUUGUUCAAAUGCAUCAGUAGAAUGGCCAAGUUGUGGUGUAAAGUCUGUUUGUAGAAUGUGAAAAAUAUUCACCUUUUCCAGUGGUUUUUAAGGACAAGCCUAUGGUAUAUGGUAGAGUUAAAUCUCUUUAAAUAUGGAGGAGGUAGAUUGCCUUGAAAUCAUAUAAUCCCAAUUCAUUCUAUUACGGUAACUUUCGGGCAUUAAAGUUACUUUAAGCGUGGCUGAAUUAAUACCACAUGUCCUGUUAUAGUGUCAAAGAGACGCCUAAGUUUGGUUUGCUUUCAAUUCCAUAAUGCCCUUGAAAGUGACAUUAUAUUGAGACGUCCUAAUGGUCAUUUAAUAUUUUUUAUUUUUCCCCUUUUAGGUUUUUUAUUGUUGAACUUGCUUCCAUAUGAAAUACUGAGACUGAUGUGGAUGUCAUUGUUGUGAGCUCCAUCUAUCUUCCUUGCGUUAUCUGAACUCAGGUUGCUGUUACAAGAUUCCCCUAACAAGGCUUUCUUUAGUUUAGACCAUCUAAUCUCACUAAACAAAGCCUUCAUGUGGUCCAUUCUUGACUUAAAUUUGAAAAUCUUGCUGGCAUGAUGAGAGAUGCAAUAUAUUAUAUAUUAUAUAUUUAUAUUUAUAUUGAUGUAAAGCUUCCUCUGUAUACUUGUGUAUUUGGAUUUCUUAAAAUUCAUUUCUUUGCUUGCCAUGACUUCGUUUUUCUUACCCUCUAUUUGUUUGUUUUCUGCCCUGGAGAAUUUCCCAUCAUCCAAACAGUCUUUUCUCCCUCUGAUUUUUUUUUUUUUUUUAAAAUCUCUUCUCCCCACGCUUUAUUCCUUCUACUUUAUAGAGUUUUGUCCCUUGCACUAGCACUGCUCAUGGAAUUUGGAAAGUGAGCUUGAUACAAAAACUGAGCGCCUUUCCUGUAAUCCAGCAAUGUGGGCAUCAUCUGUGCGAUGGGAGUGCACACCACGCGCAGACCUUGAAAAAAAGAGGAUAUAACUGCUCUGAAAAUUAUGCGGAUGUUAGAGGUUCAAAGAAGAUCUUGUAGGGACUUCUUAUCAGUACAACGUGGUAAGACUCGAGUCUGUGAAAGCCAAGCUUUUGGGAUCCCCCUCCUAGGUAUAUACACCCACCACACGUCUCUGCCCACCGAUAAUCCUUAGCUUCUACACGCUGGUUAGCCAACCUUUCUCCCUCUGUUCUGUCGGAAUCGGUUCAGAAUUUGGCGGGGGUUCUCUGCACCUGCCAUGUGUCUCACUACUCCCCAAAACCUAAUCAUUUUUCACUCGAGGGCAUUGUGGUAAAGAAUGACUUCGGGGUUUUGACUAGUCAUACGAGCAUUGAAUUCUCAUUUUUAUCUAUUUAUUUAUUUUUUAUAUGCUCCCAUUUGUCCUGUAACUAUUCACUUCCAAUAGUUUCAUUGGCCGUGACAAUAACAAUUGAUUUUUAACCAAUUGAUGGAGAAAACUAAUCAUACGCUUAAAAUAGACUCUAUACAAUUCAACAGUUGGAGUGCGACAUGCAUAACUAAAUGGGCACUGCCUUUUUAAAAGGUCCCCCACCAUCUAAAACAAUAUGACAAUGUCCAUGGACCAAAGUGUGUGAUCAAUUUGGUGGUCUUGCCUUGGAAUAUUUUAGGUUGAGCCGGUUUGUUUUCUCCUAAAUUUUAUUUCAGUUUAGUCUUGCAAUCUCGACCACUCUUAAUAUCCAAUUCCCAAGUUGUAUAGACAGCCAUUACAAACGAUAAGGACCAGGUGGCUCCCACCUAAAUUAUUCACAAGCUGUUUGCCCCAUUUCUCUUGUCAUAUUGUGCCACAGAGAGAUGUUAAAUUUAUUGAUUUCAGAUUACUCAAUCAUCAUGAUUUAAUUGUUGGCGGUUCCCAAAAUGUCAUCCAAACAUGAUGGAUUAGUAGAACAAAAAUAAUAAUAAUAAAAAAUCAAAAGUAGACUCCCCCCGAUUAGCAAAGUAAACGAUGGUCAUCGGUUGCAUCCAUUUUAUUUGUGGGAGGUGCAAAUUGUGUUACGAAAGUGGGGGUGAAGGAGAAUAUGAUGAGAAGGAAAGUAGGUGGAACAUCGCUUUUAAUAAUUGAGAUUGAGAAAGAGAAGAGGAUGAGGGGAUGAGACAAGGGCCUUUCUAUUAUUUUAUUUCACUGUUAUUAUGGUCGCACUCUCUUUGAUCAUCUCCUUGUCACGAAUUUGAAAUUUCUUCCAUCUCCCUUCCUUUUCACUCUUUAUCAUGUUAGGAACUUAGGGCUUAGGACUUUAGUUUCCACCGCCCACUACAACCUCCUCUCAAAUCUUCCGACACCAACUCUUCAGUUACCCAUCUAGAAACUAUCUUCUAAUGAGACCUACUUAGUCUUUCUCCUACUGUCAAUUAAAAUCGAAGAUAAAUUAUUUGUUUAUGAGAUAAAGUGUGCCUUACGAAACUUCCAACCAAUUUCAUACCAACCACUGUUAGGCCACUUGAUAUGGGUCCCAAGUGACUCGCGGUCAACACACUCUUCUUUGAAAUGAACCUCUUUUGCCCAAUUUUGACUAGUCAAAUUCACAUUCAAUCUACCACGGUACCACCUAAUAAAUUGAAAUUAAUUAUCCUCUGCUUUUUAUUUUUAUUUUUGUUUCAUUACAAAAGAAAUUUUUUUUGGCCCUUGUGCAUAUUGGAGGCGAUACAGCCCAUGUCGCUGGAGUAUUUAUUCAGUUGAUGCAAGUAUUCUGACUUAUUGAAUAACUUUUACUCUUAAAUAUUAAUGCUCACUUACCCUGUUAGAAGAAAACGAUCAUCUUGAGACUGACAAGAAAGCGAGAGGAUUCAAAAUUUCAGCCUGUUUAUGCUGUGGCAAUCAUUCGACUUUGCUGAAAAUGAUUUCUUCUGCCUAAUUUUUUGUUAUUAGUAUGUGGAAUGAAUGAGUGGAGAGCAAGAAAAAUUUUGCGCCUUCGUGUACGUGUACUGCGUUCGGAAUUGAUCAUAGGUGAGGCCUAUGAAUGUAUCAUUCUAGAUGGAAAUUAAGUACAAGUACAAAUUAAGAGAAAAGUGGAAACAAAAAGAGUGGAGAAAUGCUCAAGGCCACUUAAUUAAAUAAGCCCACAAUUAAGAAAAUGCAAUUGUACUUGUGACCCAUAUGCCCUGAAAAUAUGUGACCCAUAUGCCCCUUCAUUCUCUCUCUUAUAGGCUGUAUAUCAAGUUCGGUUAACUUUUGGAUGCUACUGCGUGUAUAUUCUAGAACAUCAAAAUGGUCGGCUGGGUGAGCUGGGAUCCUCCGGGUGAUGAUAAAGUGGGGUCCAGUCAUGGCCGCGACGUGUUUUGAUCUAACCUAUUCAAUCUGACAUCCGACGGUCAUCAAGCUACAUGCGCUUUGAACCACUUUAUUCAGCAUCAUAUAAAGGUAAGCCCGUCAUAACAAAAUAACACCUUUAGGAAAGUCAGGAUGCCUUUAUUUCUUAGGCACUUGAAAAGUCAUAGGCCUUUUUCAUCCAUUGAAGUUUGCUCAUUCAUUCAUGAUUUAUAUAUAUAUAUAGAUUUUUGUGUGUCGUAGGACCUUUAUUUAACCAGAAAGUUCCCACUGAUAAAAGGGAAGGUGAAGGUGCUCUCAACCUCGGUCAUAUUAUUUGAUUUAAAUUAUUGGCCUCGCCAGAGAUUGUUAAAUUAUGGAUUUUUCCUUUAUAGCAUAGCACCUAUCAAUUUUUAUUUCCAAAUCUCACCCUCAGUGCGAAGCCAUGAAAUGUCUUCUCUAUUCUUUUUUAAUAUAAAGGUGAAUCCAAUCAUAAAGCAGAAGGGAGAAAGUUGUGGACAUAUUCAGAAUCUGUCCAGCAUACCCAGCCAUAGACGCAGGCUUCCAAUGUGUUGUACAUAUAUGUUGAUAUACAGGGCUUCUCUUCGUCUCGAUCACCUCCCUUGCUUAAAUUUUAGCUUCUCCAAUUUUUUUAUUUUUUCUAAAUUAUUUGACCCCAUAUUGACAUGGAACAGUCAAUUUGUAACAAGUGGCAAAGUCGGGAAUCUCGAGGUAGAGUUUGGUUUUCACCCUGAAAACGCGGAAGGUUUGAUGGAGUUCCUUUAUUUCAUGUGUGACAAAUCCCCAUACAUAGCCCACAUGUUCACUCUGAUCUUAUGCUAUUAUAUUUCCGAAGGCGGUCCCGAAUUGAAAAGACUCCUUCAUCUACCAAAUUCAAUGUCACAAAAGAAUAUAAUAAAAAUAAACAUCAAAAUGCAUCUUAAAAUUUUAUCAUCUACAAUUCUCUAUUUUUUAUUUUUACCAAUAAAAUAGAUGUCAGUAAAGGAGUGGGAAGUCAACUAUCUGAAGUUAAAACAAGUCCUGCUCUUCCGUAUUCAUAAUAAAUACGAAUUUUAUUUAUAUGGUAACAGAUGAUGUGAAUUACAAAUACAAAGCGUUCGUCACACGGAACUUCUCACACAAAAGCAGAGGCCACUCCACUCACUUCAUAAUUCAUUUCUCCUCCUCCUCCUCCUCCUCCUCCUGCUUUCUCCCUCUCUUAGCUUCCUUCUCCCACCAUGACUUCAAAAGACUGCGGCAACCAUAGGCACAAGCAUCAUAAGCUGAGGCGAUGCUUCGCCGGAUUGCUUAUCUUCUUCUUCAUCGUCCUCCUCGUCGUACUCCUGGUGUGGGCAAUCCUCCAGCCCAAGGACCCACGCUUCGUCCUCCAAGACGCCACCAUCUACGCCCUCAACGUCUCCACCCCGAAUAUCCUCACCGUCAACAUCCAAGUCACCAUCACCACCCGCAACCCCAACGACAAGAUCGGCAUCUACUAUGAGAAACUCGACACCUACGCCACCUACCGCGGCCAGCAGAUUACCCUCGCGUACCUCAUCCCCCCCACCUACCAGGGCCACAAGGAGAUCAUCACCUGGUCACCUUUUCUCUCCGGCACGGCCGUACCCGUGGCUCCCUACAACGCCAUUGCACUGAAUCAGGACCAGUCGUAUGGCGCCCUCACCUUGAUCAUCAAGAUUGAUGGACGGGUGAAAUGGAAAGUUGGUUCCUUCACAUCAGGCCGUUAUCAUCUUAACGUCAAGUGUGUGGCGCCUAUUACUUUCGGUGCCAGGAGCAGCGGUGUUGUUAUCGGUAACGCCGUUAAGUACCAGAUGGCUUCCACUUGCAGCGUCAGCGUUUGAGCUUCUUCACGCCGUUAGUAUUAUUUCUCUCCCUUUGUCCUCUUCUUUUAAUUCUGUUUCUCUCCCUUGAGUCUCUAGUCAUACGUCUUUUGAAUUGUACAUUUUGCUAAGAAUAAAAGCGGAAAAAAAUUGGAAAGCAAAAUUGCAAUGUUAUGAAAAUUGUAUAACCGUGCUAUUAUAAGAUUAUGAUUUGUGCAAUAAUUAUUUCCAAGGGGUGGAGGGUGUGCUGUCCCUUUCUAUCAUUUUUCUAUGGUUGCUUCCUUCAAGAAAAUGAAAAUUAAAAGGAUGGGGGCACCUGUUUUAUUUUAGAGUGACUGGUUGAUGUGAUCCAUAAUUUUAUAUGUAUUUUGUCUUUCGUUUUUCGCAAAAUAGAAAGUCCAAUUCAUGAACACACCUAAGUUAAUUAGGUGUUAUCUUCAAAGUGGAUAGCAAGAAAAACGGUCACAUGGGGCUAUUAAAUCUCUUUUUCGCAAUGGGAGGAGAUGGUAAAAGUUUCCAAUAUCUCAAUAUAGUAGAAACCCAAGCCUCACCCAUUCAACACAAGAAUUUUUUUCUUUGUUUUAGAGAGAGAGAGAGAGAGAGAGAGAGAGAGAAUACCCUUAAAAGUAAUGUGAAGGUCGUAGCUGGUGUAUGGGUGUUGCAAUCUUGGGCAAAAGGCAUGAGUAGUGAGUUGUGGGUGUUGGGUCUUCAACAGUUCAACACUCGUAUGGCUUUGGUGGCUGUCCUUUUCGCUUCUCACCUGCCCUACCUACUAAUAAUAAUUGCUUUGUUAGAAAUAGACUUUUUUUUUUCUAAAUGUCUACGAUCGACGCUCCUGCUUUUCUUUCCCCAGUGUCUUUUAGAAGAUGAUGUCGGUCGAAGAUCCCACGUGUAAGAAAAUUUAAGUCCACCCAGUGCAUCAAUCUUCAACAUAAUCUCAUAUUGCCCAUCUAUUUUUGUCUGGGAGAAUCAUGUAUCAUAUAUUCAUAUGCACUUCCAUAUCCAUGCUUAUACCCACCCCACUCACUCCUUUUUGGACCUGUGCUAGCUCGACCAGCAAAACAUUGGGCUUUAAGUGCUUAUAUUAUGGGCUGGGCUAGGCAGUUUCUGCAACUUCAAAGCCCAUGCACUGAAAUAUUGUAUAUAUUAACUUCCACAAGUAAUGAAUUGAUAAAAUCUCUUACUCAAAAGGCCACAGCAACAGCAUUCACCCAUAAUAGAUGAGACAAAAACAAAUUUUGGUUUCAAUUUUGAAAUAUUGUGAAUUUAUUUUAGAUUAAUUUUUUGUCUAAAUUUUUUUAUGAAAUUUAAUAUCUGAAUUUGAUGAGUUAUGAGACAAAAAUAGUGAUCAUUUGUAGUAAAGUGUUGUUUCAAUUUUGGAAUAGUGUGAUUUUAUUUUAGAUUAGUCUCUUAUUCAAAUGAAAGUGAUUUUAAUAUUGUUCAUCUUCUUUUUUAGUUACAAUUUAUGAGAAAAUUUAAUAUCUAAAUUUUCUUGAGAAAAAUGAUAGAAAUUACGUUUUUAAAAUUUUUAUUUUAUUUUUAAGAUAAAAGCUAUCUAAAAUUUUUUUAAAUGAAUUUUAUUUUAUUUUAUGUAAGAAAUUACGUUUUAAGUAUUAUAAUAAAAUUAAAUUUUGAAAAGAUAAAAACGAAAAGAGAAGAAGUGAUACAAGUUAAAAAAAAAAAAAAAAGGAUCUCUAACUUCCUUGUAAUUUUUUUUUAUUAAAAAGAAAACAAAUCUUAAAUAAAUUUGUUAUAUUUUUAUAACCAGACCUACAGGUUGGACCCAAAAGGCCUAAGGUCCAUGAACUGGAGUCAGUUUGGGAGCUUGCAUUAUUAACUCCCAAAGAUCGUCCAGAACUAGGCCAGACUAGGUAUAGUGGAGCACUGCAUGAGCAAGCUGGGCCUCUCUGCCAAAUAUGAAAGGGUACGCCAGACUUCAGCAAUAUGUUUACCCGAUCUCAAGAUUGGCCCAAAAGUAGGCCCAUUCCUACAUAGUCCAUGGUCACGAUAUAUAUAUAUAUAUAUAUAUAUAUAUAUAUAUAUAUAUAUAAAGGCUGUUCCACAUUUGCGUUAAACAACACCGGUCAAGGGCCAAGGCACCAAACAUUGUUGGACCGAUCAAGGGCAGACACGCUUGUAUAGGAGUUUUGACCCAAAAUAGUAUAUUUAAAAAAAAAUAAAUUCAUAAAAUAAACUUGUUUCCAAAAUAAAGCUCGAUCUACAUUUGUGUUACAUAAACUGUCAUAUCAUAAAACCAUAGUCGGUAAUGAUGAUUUUAUUUUUUAAAAACGGUUAGAAACUGUAGUCACCAACCAUAAUUUUAAUUUUAAAUUUAAAGUCGCUACGAUUUUGAAUUCUUUUAAAAUUUGUCAAAAACGUAGUUACCAAUUGCGAUUUUAACUUUAUAUAUAUAAAUUUAAUUUUUUAAAUAAACAUAUUAUAUUAUUUUGAUUUUAAAUAAACUUAUUUCAUUAUUUAAAAAAUAAUAAUAUAUGAGAUUAAAUAAUUGAUAUUUUUAUUUGAUAUAAAUAUAUAUAUAUAUAUAUAUAUAUAUAUUAAUUUUAUUAAAACAAUAGGCACUAUAUUUAAUAUAAAUAUAUUUAGUUAAUUAUAUUUAUUUAAAACAAAUAAAUUGUGAAAGCUUAUUAAAAAAACAAAUAAUAUAAAUUAUUAUAUUAAUUAGUAAUUUUUUAUAUACUAUAUAUAAAUGGCAUAUAAUAUCACACGUAUAUAAGUUCAAUUUAAGUUUAAAAUUUAUAGUUCAUAAUAUUAUAUUGAUAUGAUAAUAAUUUACUUAUAUAUUUAAAUAAAAAUAUGAUAAAUUUUAAAUUUAAAUUAAACUUUUAUAUAUAGGUGAUAUUAUAUACCACUUACAUAUAAUACAUAAAAAAUUAUUAAUUAAUAUAAUAAUUUAUAUAUAUAUUUUUUCUAAAUAGUCUUUCAUAAUUUAUUUAUUUUAAAUAAAUAUAAUUUAUUAUAUUUCAUUUAUAUUAAAUAUAAUGCUAAUUUUUUUAAUAAAAUUAAAAAAAAAAUAUUUUUAUAUCAAAUUAAAAAUAUCAAUUAUUUAAUUUUAUAUAUUAUUAUUAUUUAAAUAAUAAGAUAAAUUUAUUUAAAAUCAAAAUAAUAUAAUAUUUUUAUUUUAAGAAAAUUAAAAUUAAAACGUGGUCCGUGAUUAUGGUUUCUAUUUUAAAAAAAUAAAAUCAUAAUCACCUAUUAUCAGCCAAUUUUAGAUGGUAACCUGAAAGGCCCAUUACCAGGAUUUGUGCGCCAUUGCGACGCGUGUGGCGCGCCUACCGAGUUUGACUGAUAAGCCACGAGAAAUGUUAGGAAUCUUCUAAUUUGUCCUCUACGGUUCAUGGCAUCUUUCAUGUGAGAACGAAAGCUACGAAGUUUCCUGGGCAACUUCCCAUCCACAAAAAUUGCGUUCAAGAUUAUCAUGAACUCCUUCCACCUCACCCACCCCUUUUUUAAUUCGACCCCAUUUUCCAAUUUUACGUGCCAUGACUUUAUCAUACCUUUAAUCAAUCAUAUUUUAAGAAAUGCUGCAUUGUUUUUUCAAGUUAAAUGAUCUCACGUGUAGACAAACUGAUAAAAAGGCAAUUAGAUUACGCAAGACUUAUGCGUUAACUGUUUCAUAAGUAAAAGAAUUUGGCUACCCACCCGGCUUUGACAAUGAUUGGUUUUGCCUAUUUUCUAUCUUUCCUUUUGCAUUCUAAUUUCCGUGAGCUUCCAUGGAUCUUUUUAUCCAACUUCAAAAUGAGAAAUGGGUUUAAUCAUAUAUAGGGUAGAGGAAAAGUGGAAAAACAUUGUAGACUGUAGAGUUGCUCUCAAAGUUUGUUACUUCCUGUGUGUUCCUAUGACUUUCAUUAAAGAAUAGGAUUUACUAUUUGCCCAGUUAAAGUCUCAUGACAUCACUUUGAAUUCUUACCAGAAUUAUUGGAAGAAAAUGUCUUAAUAAAUAAAAAAAUAAAAAAACCUACUAAAAAUAUCUAAUGGAAACAAAGUAAAGCGUUAAAUAAAUCUACUAAAUUAACAUUUGAAUUCUUUUCUAAACAUUAAUCUCAUUCCAAGUGCCUUUAAUUUUAAUACUUUUAAAUAAUUUCCUUUAAUUUAUAUAAUAUAUGUAAUAUUAUCUUUAUAUAAUAUUAAUUACAUUAUCCUUUAAUUCUAAAAAUGCAUUUAAUAAUGAUGGUCCGGAGUUUUUCUAAUUUUUUUAAUACGUAAAACAAAAUUUAUUUUAGAAAUAUUAUAAACAAUUUUUUAGAAUAGUUGUGAAAUGCACUUUAAAAUACAUUGAAUUAUGAAUUUUAAUUAUAUAUUUUAUGAUGCUUGAUGAUUUUAAAAAGAGGCCAACAUUGUUUAUUUUAAAUAUAUCUUCAUGAUAGAGCAAGAUUUUUUCCAUGUGUGACUCUAAGAUCAUAAAAUGAGGUGACAUUGGUAUGACAAUUAGAAAUGUUAAAAAAUACAAAUAAAAAUUUAUAUAUGUAGUUUGGCAUAUCGGGUUGAAUAAAAGGUAAUUACAUGAUGUUAAAAUUAAGUCUAUAUCAAUUACUUAUGUUAAUUAAUUUUAAUAAAAAGUGGAAAUAUUGCAAAUACAAAUAGAAAUGAAUGUAGAAAAUAAGUUUUUUUAAAUAGUUUAAGAAAAUUAAUAUUAUAUAUUUAAUUCAAUGUGAUAAAAUAUUUAGGAAUUAAAAACUGAAAUCAAUGUGGCCGAUAUGAUAAGAGUUUUUUUUUUUUUUUUUUUUUUAAUUUGAAAUGUGAAGAUAUUUUAUAAGAUAUUGAGUUGAUUAAGAAAUAGAAAUAAAUAAUACAAUGGGAUAUUUUGAGAAAAAUAAGUUCAUAACAUUUUAUUCUUAAAAAAUAUGUAAAAAGGAAAUUAAGUAAUAUAUAUAUAUACAAUUUUACUAUUAAUAAACCUCAUCACCAUUGCAUUAAUAUCUACAUUGUUUUUUUUUUAACUCUUCAUUUUUAUUAUGCAUUUAUACUUAAAAAUCAAUAAAAGCAUAUAAAAAAAAUAUUUAAAAUCUAAUAAUAUAUUUUAAAAAAAAUAUAGAAAAUAAUGUUUAGGUAAAUGAGGGAAUAGAAUAAUUAGUAAAUAAAUUUCUUUUCACUUAACUCCUUCCGAUUCUAAACAGAUGCUUAAUUUCUUGGUACUUUUAUAUGUAGGAUAGAAUAUAGAUAUAAAUAUAAAUAUAGAUUAUUUCACCAACCUCUAGUUUGAAAAUAAAUAUUUUUAAUUAAUUUCUCUAUAAAAGUCAAAUAACAUUUUUCCCAUUUCUUAAUAUUUUUCUAAUGGAAAAUAAGCCAAAAGGAUCUGAAAUCAAAAUCAAGUAAUCAAAUAUGCAAAAAGUCUAGUUAGACCGCAAUGCUUACCAUAUUUUAAAAGCUGGUAAUAAUUCUGACAGCCUAAAAUUUCUAGAUUUAGUAAGUUCACUUGAUAAAAAUAAUGUCUGUGCUCAUGACAAGGCAUAUUAAAUCUGGCACACAAUCCCCCCAAGUCUAAUCACAACCAUUGGUAAUGAAUUCAUAAUCUUAUUCGUGUAUGUAUGAUAUUACUUGGAGAGAACAAAUUUGAAAUGCCAAAAUGCGACACAUCAGGCGUGACCAAAUCAGCAGAUUGAUAAGAAAAGGGAAACAAAUUAAUACAUUCAAAAUUUGACACAUUCCGUGUUAGAAGUUACUAGAAAGGAAAACACGUUAUGAACAAAAAUCAUCAUGAAAUUUUGUGGUGUCAGCCGAAAAGGACCGUGUGUAAGGAGUCAACGGAUGUCUGGAAGUAUCCAUGUAGCAUCGCUACCCACGCACAAAGCAACCGCGUUGAUUUUAAGCCUGAUACCGCGGCCUCAGUCGUGUUCUUCCUCAUUAAAGAACUACACCUGCGCCCUGGAGUGCUUGAAAUUAUCCUCACCUCUUCGGCUCUUCACACCAUUCCCGGCUCUAUAUAUAUUCGCAUUCAUCUCUCCUAAUUUCAUCGAAUCCCAUCUACGCAUCUUUCUCUUUUUGUCCACUGCGUACUUGUUUGUCUGUUGUAGUCUUAUACCAUGGCUGACGUUGAGAAACAAACAUUGAAUAAAGGCUACUAUGGCCCCUCAAUUCCUCCAAAAUCACGAUCCUACCACAGCCACGGCCGAGGCAGCGGAUGCGGCUGUUGCUGCUGCCUCCUAGGCUUUUUGCUCAAACUCAUUGUCACCGUCGUUAUCAUCGUAGGGAUUGCAGUCCUCCUCUUCUGGCUCAUAGUCCGUCCCAACAAGGUUAAGUUCCAUGUGGUUGAUGCCUCCCUCACCGAGUUCAACCUUACCAGCGACAACAUCCUUCAGUAUAACCUUACCGUCAAUAUGACCGUCCGCAACCCCAACAAGCGUAUUGGUAUAUACUUUGAUCGCAUCGAAGCCAAGGCGUACUAUGAGGACGCCUUGUUCGAUUCUGUUGAGUUGGAACGAUAUUACCAGGGCCACAAGUCAACUCAUACCCUGAAUCCAGAGUUUACUGGGGAGAACUCUGUAUCGCUUGGAGCAUCCGAGCUUUCGAAUUUCAAUUCGGAGAAGGCUUCAGGAACUUACAGUAUUGAUGUGAAGCUGCGUCUUCGGAUCAGGUUCAAGUUGGGAAUAUUGAAGAUUGGUACGUUCAAGCCCAAGGUUACUUGUGAUUUGAAGGUUCCUUUGGAUUCUGAUGGGACAAGCAGUGGUACUUUCCAAACCACCAAGUGCGACGUUAAUUUCUGAUCAUCUGAUUCAGGCUCCUGCUCGCCUUCCUGGCUCUUUGAUCCACUUCGUUGUUGAUUUCUUUGAUUUGCAUAUUAUUCUUUUGUUUGUGGGUACACAUAGCAUCACAUAUCGUUUUCUUUCCAUUUCCCUCCCUUUUGUAGGGAUGGUUUAGACGUGAUCAUGUUGGUUUCUUCUUGUUCAUAGAUUAUGCCAUUUUUGGUUAUGUAUAUGUUAUGUUAUAUUUAUGAGUUUCGUUAUAAUUUUUAUUUUUUUCGGUUAAUCUUCGCUGCAUUUUUCAAUUUGGUAUACACGCUGGGGCAAAUUUUAAUUAUUUGGUGAACUGCUUCUUUGGUUCGUCGGUGAAAUAUAAGUGGACGAAUUUAUUAAUAAAACCUGACUUUGUUCUUAUACGUUACAUGGAGAACGAUGCCAAGUGCUCCUACGAUCAACUCGAACGAAUGAUGCGUGACUGAUUCAAUGUGACCACGCGUGGGCAUUGUGUCGGUGAAAUGCAACAAUCUAUAAUCUAUUCAGAUAAGAAUGCUGGGGGGCCAUAGAAGGGUCUCGCAGAUGACAUCUAAUCAAGCCUCCUGCUUUGUCCAAAAAAUUUAACAUUUAUAAUUGAAAAAGGAAAUUUAUGUAAAAGAUUUCAAGUUUAGAGUUUAAAAUUUACGUAAAAGAUAUUAUUUUCCUUUAAUUAUAUUUUUAAAUGCUAAAAGAAGUUUUGAAGCUUUAAUCAUCUUUUUCGAUUAUUCAAGGGGGUUUUUCCUUAUUUGUAAUUUUAAAUAAUUUAUAUAAUUAUUAAUUAUUGUAAAGCUUACGUUUUCAUAUUAUUUCUCAUUAUUAAACACUAUUUUCUCUAGAUUAUAUUUUUAAAGUUGAAAAUUGAUAUUGGUUAAAAGAAGUUUUUGAAUAUUCGAUGUUAUUUAUUUUUAUAAAAAUUUUAAAUAAUUUAUUAUGUAUUAUUAUAUAAUAUCAUGGGUUGUUGGUUUAGAAAACCACUGUACAUUUCAAAUUUGAGAACUUUGUUGUCGUUUUUCAUUUUUUCGUACGUUUCACACGUGCGCUUCAGAUUCCAGAACAUGGACUUAUUUUUUAUUUUUAAAACCAAAAAUUUCUAUAUAAAAAAUAUAAACUUAGUUAAUUUUCUAUUUUCAUUUUUAUAUUAUAUAACAGCGGGUGGGAGUGGAAAUGUGAUUUGACUUGCACAGCCAGACUAAGGAAAAAAAAAAGGUUCCAAGAAAAAUCUGGCUUCAUAUGGGAAACUUAGGUUUUAGGUUAUCAAUAUCAAAACAAUAGUAUAUCAUACCCCAGGUUUGCCAAUUUCAAGUUUACGAUGCUAACCUCAAAAAUAUUUUGAGUCUCAUGCACUUUGGACUGAGUUGUUUUUUAAUUCCCAAAAUGCCCCCCUCCUUCGAUCAAGUCAACCUCCACAAAGUUUAAAAAAAAAAUAAAAGAUUAAAAAUAAAAAACAACUUAAUAGCAGAAACCUUCCUUCUUCGUUUAUUUCUAUAUGUAAACCCUCAGUUCACUUUUCCUUCUUAUCUUCUUUAUUUCCUCAUUCCUUUAUACACAUCUAACUAGUAUAAACCAUAACGGAAAACCAUAGUCAUUUUCUUCAUUUUUCCUCCUAGUGUGUGAUAUGGUAGAAGUUGUGCAUUCUUGGGUGCCUCUGCCUACCACCACCGCCACCCACCACCAUCUCCUCACAUCUCAUCCUUUUCACCUCUCUCACUCGACUUCCUCUUUCUUUAUGCCUCUAUCAUUCUCAUCCCAGGUACUCUCUCUCACUCUUUGUUUUUAUAUGUAUAUGAUUUGAACGAUAGUGAUCGAGGGAUUUUUCUUUUAAAUUUUUUAUUGCUUGAGAAUGAUUUCAUAAUUUAUUGUAAUUCUAAGGCUUUCUUAUUGAUUUUUGUUUUUUUUCCAUGCCAACAUGCUUCAACUUGAUUGGGCUUAUCUAAAAUUUUUAGCUUUCAUGUGCUCAAUUGCUGAGAAAUUUGUUGAAAUUGAAAGGAAAUAUAAAGUUUUGACAUUUUUAGGGAUUGAGUUGGGUGAAAGUGAAUGACUGAGUUUAUCUUUGUCGAAUAGUUGUCCAUACAUCACUAAACUAAUAUUUUGAUCGGAAUCAUUGAGCUAAUUGUUAUUGUGUUAAUUAAAUGAAGGAUUAAGCUAUUUUCCAAAUGUUAAGCUUGUAGGAAAAUUUUACAUCUUGUCUUUGUUUUUUUCUUUUUUGUCUUAUGUGAUGCUUUGUCAAGAGGAUAUUUUAGGGAAAUGAUUUUCUACAAGUGAAUGAGAAUCAAUGGAAAAUACACUUUUCACUUAUCUAAUCAAUCAAAUAUAACUUAAAGGUUUAGAUUUUAUUUUAUUUUCUAUUCUUUUCCUUGGUAUCUUAGCAAAUAAAUAGAGAAUUAGGAAGAUUCUUUUGAUAGAUUUGUUUUUCCCAUGACUAAGGUGUGGUUUGAUGCACUUCCGAUUUUUCAUUUUUAAAAUAUAGAAUAAUAGCAACUUUAUAUAAAGUUUAGGAACUCUAAUACAAAAUAAAUAAAUAAAUAAUUUAUUUUAUAUUUUAGGUUCCUUAAACUGAUUAUUUGUUUUAAUGCUUCUUAAUCUAAAUUGUUGUUCCUGCAUUUUAAAUAAGAAAGGUAUACAAGUUGAUUUUUUUUUAAUGAAAUUAAGAUUUGAAAUAGAUUAAUGUUGCAGUUACCAAAAAAUUGAGCAUUACAUGUCCAAUCAUGGUCCUUAUUUUGUGCAUGCAUUCCCCUAAAGGAGAAAUUUCUUUCACUUACACCUUUCAAGUUAGCAAAUAGAUUGUCAUUGCUUAAGCAAGGAACAAAUGGAGUUGCCUUCUCCAAUCACCGGGGUUUUUUUCUAUUGUGGAUUGAGUUCCUUUUCCCAAAUUCUUAUUAUUGAUAAUGGUAAUGAAGUUUAUAACUUGUAGAAAAUAAGUAGAGUUAUUCAGUGCUCUUCUUUACCAACGUGUCUUGCUAGGUCCUUCUAGUUGCAUGUUUUUUAAUGCAUAUUUUGUUCUUAAAACUGAAAACAAAAGAACAAUAUUAUGGUACAGUUAAGUUUUUGGAAACCAAAAAUGUUGAAGGCUAGUAAAAUAAAAAUAGGGACAAGUUCGCUAGAAUCUGACCAAAGGCAACAUCUUUCUAUGUGCUUUGACAAACUUAUGACAAACAUAAAUCUAAACUUGGACUCAAAAAACAGGGACAAGUUCGCUAGAAUCUGACCAAAUUCAAGAACGAAUUCUGCAACAAAUAAAUUGUGACAUCUUUCAUACAACAACAACAAUUUUAUGCUAGCAAGAGGCAUUGUUCAUUAUUGAAGUGCUUAAAACAACCUAGUUUUGAACAGACUGCCUCCACUGAGUCCAAUUUAGUUGCAAUGGGAAGAACAUUCAUAAGAGUUCGCAAACAGAAAUUGGAAAAAUUCUAAGGGGUAGAUAUGUUUUCAAAUUUUAAAGAAAAAUACAACUAGAUUAUGUUAAUUUACAUUAUCUACUAAGAAGAUAUGUAUGAAGAAUUUUUAAUACAUUAAAAAAAAUAAAAUUGAUAGAUAAAAUAAACUUGUCAUGAGAAUCCUCAUGCUCCUACAACUUUGAAGCAAAUUUGAACAUUUUUUUUUCACAAAUUAAGUAACUAAGAUUCACAAAUGAAGUUUUGAAAGUUCACAUAGGUAGUACCCAAGUUUCACUAAGGUAGUACCCAAGUUUCACUAAGGUAGUACCUAAGGUUAAGUAAGCUAGUACCUAAGGUUCCUAAAAUACUAAGAUGAUGUCCAAUAAGGUAAAAACAUCUUUUUUAAUGUCCAUUAUGGGGGUCUUAAUUGGCCUAAUGGAGUCCAAUAUAGUAGGGCCCCUCUGCUUGUGAGAGGGAAUCCAAUCACAGUUGUUCAAUAUGCUAAUUAGAAUUUGAAAGGGGCACAUCGGUUUUUAAAACCUAGGCUUUUGAAAAGCAAAACCUGGGCCUAAAUGGUUUGUCUAGACUAAAACUAGACCAUUUUAGUUGGAUCCUGUCUUAAUUACUCACAACCACACCAUAUAGUUGGUAAAAGAUACAUGUUUCCAUGUUGAUCCAGCCCUGAAAAAAAUAUUUCCUUCAAUUUUAUUCAAGAAAUAAAGUACUAGGAAUUUUCAGUAAUACAUGCAACAAUUAUUCUUCAAGAUGAAACUUGCCUUUAUUGUUGUGAAAUAGACAACUAAACAAACCAUUGGUAUAUAUAUAUAUAUAUAUAUACCAAUGGAAAAAAAAUCUCCUCAGAAUAAAAGCUUACUCCAUACAUACACUCUUUAUACAGGACAAGCAUGUACAUGCUCAACUCACUUCACUCUUACAAAAAUUUCAGUACUGCUUCUUUCCAAUAUAGAAAAAUGUGAUUCAAGAAAAUACCUGCUCAAAGCUUAAAAAAUAUAAAGUCAUAGAGAAGAAAAAAAAUAAACCAAAUUCUUGACAAAAUUAUUGACUUUUACUUGUCCAAAAAUUCUACCAUUCCUUGUCUUCCAAAUUAUCCAAAUCAAAGUGAGGCUCACCAAUUACCAAAUAAUUCUAUCUUUAGGGAGUCUCCCAAAUUCCUUAAAAAAGAUAGUCAUCCUAUUUGUCAAAAUUCUGAGAAGCCUACCCUAUCACAGCUAUGCAAACAACUUCUACCAAAGCCCUAAAGAAAAUAGGCAAUGAAGAAAGUUAUAACCAAUUGAUUCACCAUGCCACAAGCACAUAAAACAUAAUUUGAACAUAAAACUUUAUAGGGCUUGCUCACCUAUAGCUUCUUGUUGGUAUUGCUUAUUUGCCACUGACCAUACAAAAGGCUUUUGCUUUAGGUGGGGAUGUAGAUUUCCAAAUGAAACUAGCUGGAAAAAAAAAAAAAAAAACGAGUUCAAGGUUUCAAAAAAGAGCUAAGAAAAAUGAACCGUUAGAAAACAAGCUUGAAGAGACCAAAAACUAAACCUUAAGAAAGGUGAACCUAGUGGCCAAUGAUAUUAAUCACAUAAUCUCAAAUGUGCCAUACAUCAUAUAUCAUUGAAUUUUACAAAGCAAGAUUACAAAUAAUUAACAAAAUGCAAAAGGAUGUAAGUCUUUAAAGCAAACUGGAGCAACAAUUAUAACAUGCUAAGAGAAUAACAGAAAAAAAUAGAUGAACUUUGAUAACUUAACGUGUACUUUUUCGUAAGAUUUGGAAGUCACAGGUUUGACUCUUGGACAUAUAUACCAUGAAGAGUACCAGUAUCAUGAAACACAAAUUUUCUCAUUGUUAAUCUAAAACAGAAGCAACUACAUCAAAAAUUCAAUAGAAGUUAAAAAGUUCUCAAUAUAUAUACCUAAGAUUUAUUGUGACUAUAAUAUAUAUAUAUAUGCAUGCACAUCUAUUUCCUUGUAUGGAAGACAUGCUUCUAUUAAUUCAUGGAUGACAUAUCCAAAGACAGACUCUUUUUAUUAGCCAAAUCUAUGAUCUUAAAAUUCAAGGUCUAGAAUAACCUAGCUAGUAGACAAAUGGCCACUCUAAUACCUAAACAACGUAAUGAUAAAGUGAAGGAAAUGGUUUGCAUAGAGCAAAGAAGGUUUUCUCAUCCAGUGAAACAAUAGGAUUGUGUAUUGUGAGGCUUAAGCUUCUUAUUCAUAAUUAUUUAAAUAAAUAGACUCACAGGUAGCAAUCAUAAGAGUCGAAUGUGUUUGCUUUGCUAAUCAUUUCACAAAUGCAAAAGCUAAACAUCUUAUUCAAAAUCACAUGCAUCAGGUUAUUGUUAUAUUUAUGGAAAUGACUAAUGAGUAGUAAAAGCACCCAUCUCCAAGUGCUCAAGGUGCUUUCACCUUUACUAGGUAAAGUAGAAGAGAAAAGCGCUCAACAUGUGAGAGUAUAGAAAGACCCAACAAAAAAUAAAAAUGAAAAACACAAGUUGAAGAUCAGCCAAUAAACACAACUUUUUUUAGAGCUACUAAAUUUUGACCAUUUGAUUAUAAAAAAAGAUAUGAAUUAUAUACCAGCUAUGUGGGCAACUUAGAAAUUUUUGAUAUAAUGAAAAUGGUAUAGAUAGACUCCAUGUGAACAAGAAAUUGUAGCAUUAUUCUGACAAUAAUGAAAAUUCCUUCUAACUCCAGUUUCCAUCUUAUUUAUGAUUGCCAAGCAAAUGUGGGAAAAUAAAAGUAAAUAAAAAACUCUGAAUCUUAGAACUUUUUUUUUCCAUAGAAAUAUUUAGAAUGAAAAUUUUCCACUCAACUUGACCAAAUUCAAGUAUUUAUUCAUAAAAACUAUAUAAUUGGAAAUUUAUUUUCCUCAAAUUUUGAUAGGAAUCGCAAUAAAAAGAAGAAUUUCUCAACAAAAAUUUAUAAAAAAAGCUGUAAAAUUGAAAUUUUAUUUUCCUUAAAUUUCAAUAGAAAUAGCAAUAUAAAAAAAGAAUUUCUUAACAAAAAUAUAUAGAAAAAUACAUAAAAAGACGACAUUCUCUAAAACAUACAUACAUAUAUGUGCUAAAAUAGACAUGAACAUAGGAAACCUAACCUUAAUCAAACACCAAAAUCUUGUGAUUUUGACAUCCAAAUCCUAAUACCAAAACCUUAAUUCUAAACCUCAGUAUUAUGAUUUCCACAACAAUGGAAGAAAAAUAAACAUACAAACCCCUCCUCCCACCUAAAAAAAAAACUUAACAAAAAACAACACAAAUAGCUUGAAGAAUUGAAGAAAACAAGAAACCCAAAUGGGAACCCCAGAUUUGGACAUGAACAUUGUUGAUAGUGCUAAAAGACAAAAGACAACAAAAUCAUACCCGUAGACAAACAAAGAAAAAUAAAAAACAAAAAAGGCAGAGUCAGAUAUCCUUCAACGAGAAUGAUUAAAUUGAAAAUGUUGGCAGUGCUACUGCUCCAUCACAAUUCCGAGAUAGAGAGGACGGGGGAAGAUGGAAAUGAAAGAGUUUGGAAAGUGUAAUGUGACUGAAACACAUGUAAAGAAGUCGAUAAUGAUGGGUAUCCCAUGCCCUCCAAUCUGUGUCGUCCAUUUAUGACAAGAAGAUGUUAGGGUUAGGUUUUACCAUAUUAUUGGGAUUUCAGGAAUAUUUGAUAAAAUAAGAGGUCCGUGUUUUUACGAGAUUUGAUUUUUUCAUAUUCAGAUCAACACGAGGAAAGUAUUAGAGUUUUUGGAUUUUUGGGUUUCAAGAGGGAGAGAAGCAUAUAAAGGAUGAAGUUUUCUAUUCAAUCUUAGCGUCGAUCAGGGCAGAGAGAAAAAUGUAGACUGUUUUUUAGUUUUUAGUUUUUUAAUCUAUGUGGAAGAUGGGCCGGAGGAAAGAGGAGGGCAAUUUGGAUAUAAAAUAACAACUAGGCUCAAAGUGCAGCUCAAAGCGCAUGAAACUCAAAUUAUUUUUGGGAUUAGAAUAAUUAUAUUGAAAAAUAAAAAGUUGGGUUUCCAAUUUCCUAUAUUUUUCAUAUUAGCAAUCCAUAACACAAGUUUCCGGGGAAGAAGCUGUGGCGUGCGGACAGGAGGAUAGAAAACUUGCAAUGUGGGACCACAGCACGUCAACCUUAAUAACUUCUUGGACCCCACUUGUCCCCUUCAUUUGAUUCAUUCCUUCUGCAAUUUUUGUCCUUGACAUGAUCGUUUUCCAUGGCCUAACCAUUUAGCUUUGUGAGAAAACCUGAUCUUCUUUGCUAAUAUUGUUUAUCUUCUUUGGCUACUUUAAUGGUAAAGUUCAAAAAUAAAAUAAUAAUAAAGGCACAUUGGAAACCAAUUGUAAUGAUCAAUGUUACACAGCAUACUGCAAAAAUUGAAAUAGGAUAGGCACUUUAGAAUGACUAAAUCGAAGAGAGUGAAAGCAAUAAGUAGGCUACAACUAUAAGCAUUCAUUGGGGGUCAGAUCAGAACAUAUGUGCCAUUUACCAAUUAGGCCAUCGGUGGAAAGCGUUAAAACCAAUUCCACGUGUCCUGACCUUAAUACAACACCCUUAAACCAACGGCCAUGAAAUAUUUACCAGUCGGGUUGAGGUUUAGUGGUAAAUGUGGCCAACAGCUAACGUUAAAAGCACAUUUUGCGUGACAGAUAAGGCAAACCGGUCAGCUAUCACAUCACCAACUCAAAAUACAUACGAAAACACACUAAUUAGUAAUUACGUAAUUACGACCGAGGAUUCACGAUUCAUCCGCCGGGUUGACUCCCGGCGAAAUUUUAGUCGCUGUGGACCUCCAAGCUCACAAAUGAAAACUUGCUACCGCUGGAAACAUCACUCUCCGAGCACUCUUUUUCCAGCCCUUUUAUUGCUAAAACGAGAUUUCCGAUUUCCACAUUUUCUGGUGAGGUCGUCCCAUUUCCGACGUCUCGGGUUGGAGAAGGGGAGGGAGUGAAGUAAGGUGGAGAAGCACAAGGCGUCGAAAACGGUGUCACUUCGUCCACACCAACGGCCACAGUCAACUCUGGCAAUUCAUCAGCAACCCUUAAACAUUCCCCCAGUGAUACACUUUUUGUCUCCGCAGACAAUGAUUUGUCAGUUGCUUGUGGCUCCAUUUCUUCCCUCUCCUCCUCCUUGAUGGUGAACAAAACCCUUGAAGAACCAUACAAUCCCUGCCAUUUAAGGACGUCAACGUCGUUGAUCUCCUCCGACGGCACUCUACCGGGCCUGGUAGCAGGAUGGGCGUGGGGAUCGGCGUGGGGUUCGAUGCGGGACUGGCGUUUCCAGCAGAAAAAGUAGAGGAGCUCCUUGGAGGGGAUGGAGAAAGGGUCUCCUGGAAACUCAGGGUGGCCGGCGGUGGAGUUCUGACGCCUGAAUCGUUUCCGGUACCAGUAAACGUGGAAGAGUUGGGUGCCUAUGACAAGGAGGAAGACUGCAAACACCACGAUGAGAACGAUGCAUAACUUGCUCAGACCGAUCAUGUUUCUCCAACACUCUCUGUUGAGUCUUCCUCCUCAGCGUUUUGUCUCUUUUAAGAAACUGAGACACUUGCGUCCUGUAGCAGGUAGCCGGUAACCUCAACGGAUUAAUGCUGACGUGUAUAUUCGACAAAUUUAUCAUUAGAAAAUUCUGUGGGGAAGAGUAAAAAUGACGUGUGGGAUGGAGUAGUGAUGACGUGGCAUCGAUGUCUGGAUCGUUGACUUGGGUGGGCCCAAAAAAAAUGGCGUAAUCAUCUGGGGUGCUGCCCAAAUACCAUUGGAUGGUGGACUAGGAGCUUGAACCAAGGCCCAUUUUAACGAUGCUGGGAUAUUGCAAAUAAAUUGGCCCAUUCACAUGGCUUGUAAUUCUCAAGCCCCCUCAACAAGUCGAUAGUUUUCUAGAGUUCUGAACCUCCGCGGGACUAGGAUCCAGGUGUCAUAGGCGGGAGCUUUUGAUCAUUAUUAUUUCGCAUUUUGCUAUAAUAUACAGCGCCAAGGAGAGCCCAGGUAGAUCACAGGCUUGGGCAGGCCUAAUCAUAGGCCAAAAUCAAGCUCAAGGUUAAAUUCAAUGAAACAGAGAGACUAGAUUAAAUUCAACGAACCAAUCUAAGCCCAUUUUCUAGAGCAGUGUGAGUCUUGUUCAGGCAAGAGGAGGCCUUGAGGUUAUUUCAAUGCCAAAUGUGACUGAAAACUGGGCCAUUUGAGAUCCAUCGCCUUCCACCAUGGGCAUCCUUGUUGUCACGGCCCAGAUGCAGUAUCGAGAAGCAAUAGGUAGCCAAUUUGAAGGAAAAGAUUAGGACCAGGGCUGAAGAGGUCUCGGGCCCAUACCAUAUUGCUGCUAAACUUAGAUGAUUUAAAGCCCUUUUUGAUAGCUAUUUUCGAAAACAAUAUUUUAUUAUCUAAAAUAAAAGAACAGGAAACACAUUUAAUAAUAAAAAAAUAGAAAAUAAUUUUUUCUUCUUAAACAUAGAAAAUGUGAUGUUUUCAAAAGAACCAUUCUUUUAAUGGUUUUUAAUUGUUUUCAUAUGAAAUUUAUUUUUAAAAAUAUAGAAAUUAGGUUAAAAACAUGUCAAGUUUUCAAACUGAUUUUUAUUUUGCAAAACAUUAAAGAAUAAUUUUCGAAAAUUAUUUCAAAAAACUGUUUUUGAAAGCACUUAAAAUAGAGCGGUCUGGUGGCAUACGGGGCAGGGCAAGUGAAAAGGAAUUCAAGACAAAUAGUGGGCUGGUCCAAAGUAUUGAUUGGGCCGGAGGACUGAUAGCCCUACCCAUGAAAAGCAAUAGCUGAGAGAGUAAACGUUAAAAAUCUAAAACUGAGCUGGCACACUGUUACGUGAAAGCGUGAUAUCUUCUCCAAUCAUGUAAAGUUGAGAGGAAGAUCCAAUGAUUUAGACAGCAGAAAUUAUUUGGAGAAGCAUCAGUGUAAUGGGUGUUUUUCCAUGUUGGGCUUCACCACAACCGUGAUGCAAAGACCAUUAUGGUUUUUGGUGAUCUCAAUGCUGUGUUUCAUGGCAUCAUUGGAAUCACAGAUACCCAAAACCGUGAGGGAGCAUGGAAGCACAAAGUGCUAAAAUCAAACAGAAUAGAGCACCCUUUUGCUUUUAGAAUCUUUUAUUUCCGGAAAGGUUUUUCGCCAUACAAUUUUCAUACUCUUCAUUUUGACACGGCAUAGUUUUUCUUGGUCACUAACGUCUAAAUCUAUUAAAUCAUAUUAUAUGAAGUGUCUCGGGGCAAUGGAACGAUAGUCUGAGACAAUAUUUGAUGAGGGCUUCAUCACGGCAGGGGGCUAGAAAGUAACAUGGCAACCAAAAGUCUCUGAUUUAAAAUGCUUAGGAAAAAAGUAACUAGAAUAAGUUGCAACAUGCAAUUGGAAUGGCACUAAAGGUUGGGGUCCUCCCAGUUGGUGCGCGGAAUGGAAAUAAUUUCCAAAUAACGGGUUGGGAACUAGGUUAUGAUUAGUGAUUGAAGAGCAGAAGCAGAAAAAAAAAAAAAAAGAGGCCAUCAAGUAAAUGAUUGCCAGAGUGUAGAAAAGCAGACACACGCAAUAUGCUUUAAGAAAACGACCCAACAAUCAUGAAAAGCAGCAUUAUUUCCAAAAUCUAAUCAUCGCCCACAUCUUGGUUUGGCGUGUGCUCUAGACUCUUUUUGACCGGCUGCUACACUUGGAAAGAAGACCAGACCACCAUAAACACACAGACCAACAUGGUGUGGUACCUCUCCCAAUCUCUUUUCCCCAAAACUGAAGCAGCAGCACAUGAAGUACUCUCUCCUUGGAUCCCUCAAUCAUCACUUUCAAAUGAUAAACCCAUAAAAACUAUACUCAGAAUGUGGGUGUGUGAGAGAGGGUGGCUCUGGGGACUUUCAGAUCCCAGAUUUCCCUUAUUUUCAUGCAAAAUUCACUCGUAAGGGAAAGGAAAAAAAAGGAAGGAAUCGAUGGUGACCUUAUGGAAAAGAGCCAUUUGUUAGCUCCCUUUUCUUAAAGUCUGCAAAAGCCCAAGGUGUGGAAACUUUGUCUCCAUGCUUGUGUUGUCUUUUGCAGAUGCCAACAAUUCUUCUUUUCUGUGUGGGUCUCCUAAGAGAGCUCUUUGGAGUUUGAGGGGCUUCUCACCUUGUCUUGUUUGUUCCAGACUUGGAAUUCGGUGCAACAAGUAAAGUUAGAUGAAAUCUAAUUCCUACAAUCUUGUCUGCUUAUCAUUUUAAUUUUCUUGGCUAGUCUCCCUUCUGUUAUCACCAACUAAAACAUGUAUUUCUUAUCUUCUCAACAGCCAAAUGCAUCAUUCAGGCAAUCUAGCUAGCUACAAAAAAUUAAUAUUGCCUCACCAUCAUGCAUGCAGACUAACCAUAUCAAUAUUCUCAUUACUGCAUAACCGGUCCCUACUACAUACCAUACAUUAAGUGGAGUUGGGAAAUCAAUGUCAAGCUUGCUUAAAAGCUAAAAGACUGUUAUUACAUACACCACUUAAAGCAUUACUUCAAUGCUUCCAACCAUUUUCGUUACAAUUAAUCAUGUCAUUUGUUUAAAAUAUAUGAAGGCUCAACUGGUUUAAUUCAGAUGCUUCUUUCUUGUACUAUCGUAGUUAUAUAGCUUAGUUUUGGUAGAUUUUUCUCCUCUAUCCGAUAUUGGAAGAGUGUUUCAAGUACCCUAACAUUAAACACCUAAUUCCAUAUAAUAUGCAGGUCUAGAAGAAGAGAGAACUAAUCCACCCUUACUCGACUUUCUCAACUAAACCACCGAGAAGAUCUCCAACCUAACGGGUCUAAUGCGUGUCUUUAUAUAUGUAUGUGUAUAUAUAUAUAUAUAUAUAUAUAGAGAGAGAGAGAGAGAGAGAAUUUCAUUGAGCUGUUGGAGACAUGGUCGACCCCAUGAACUGGGCUUAGUUGGCCCAAGUCAAUGCUAGCUGUGAACCCACUUGAUCAGUCAGUGAAAUCAAGUUACCUUGUAAGGAAAAUCAUACAAGAAUUUUAAGUGCUUAAUUUAGAUCCAGAUCAUGCUAGCUCUAUAUUUGAUUGGCCAUGUUUGAAUCACAUCACAUUCAUUAGUUCUAUCAUUCCUCAAAGCAAUCUUGAAAGGAAAUCUGAAACUUUAUAAAGAAAGAAAAGGCAAUAGAACAAAUAAAGACGCACCAUUAUUUGAAGAGGGAAAAGCAGAUAAAAUCCAUAUCUUGACAAAGAUAUAUGAUUAGAGUUCCAAAAGUUAUUUAGGUAUUCAUUUUAUGGUGGUUAGAAAAGGUUUCCAAAGCAAAAGAUACAAUGGGCUUAAAGGAAAGGAAAGGGUGGUAGAAGCUCAUUGGCUCCCACAAAGUGAAGAGGCUUGUUGCCUUAAUGAGUAUGUCUCUUAUCCCACAAUGCUUAUGGUUCAAGUUUUUUUUCCUUUUCGUCCAUGGGUCUUCCACUAGUGCCUUUGAUGACGUCCCACACCCUUUAUCAUCCCCUUAUUAGGACAUUGCUCGAGCGCUUGUCUUGGAGCGACAAGGGCUCCACCAAUUGACCCAUCAUUUGAACACCCAAUAUUAUCCACUUUCCUUUAUAACCUCGCUUGAGGUAAAUAUUCAAAACAUAUAUAAGACAGGCCUCCCAUCCCACCUUUCACAAUACAUAGACCCAUCCAAUUGCUCAAAACCUAGUAUGACCUUGGGAUUAGCCGCUUAGGCUUAGACCUCAUGGAAAAUAUUCUCCCAUGUCCACAUUUCCGCUGAGGUGGUAGCAUCGAUCUCUAGAAAUUGCUUCCCUAUCUUUUAUUAAGGACUUGACUUUUAAUCACGUUGGUGUCACGACUUUGAUAUAAUAACAAUACACGAUAAAUAAGAUAGGAAGAAUAGAAAUACUCAAAACUUUGUUAUUUUGAUAAGAUAUCCAAAGACCCAAUUUUCUUGUGCUACCUUUUGAGGACAAGUCAUCUUCUCUAUUUAAAAUUUUUUUAACUUUCACCUAAGUCUUUACUUUUCCUCUUGAUACUUUAUAAAAUUUCAAUGGUGGCUAGACUUUGAAAAUAUAUUAUACGUAAUAUAAUUAAAUUAAGCUGCUAGUAAAGGCUAAUAUAUAUAUAUAUAUUGUAUUUGUAUUACCACCAGCAGACUUGGAAAAUUUAACUCUUCUUUCAAAAUAGUUCACAUUCACAUCAAAUAUGAACAUGAAUGCAACAAGUUUAACUUUUAAGAAUUGAACUUGAUGUGGAAGAGAAAAUGAAUUCUUAGUGGAAACAAAAAAAAGGAAAAAAAAAGAAAAAGAAAGGGAAAACAGGAGUCUGUUAUUACUAGAAUGAGGUAGGAAAAGUAAGCUUAAUUUAUGUCUUCUAUGUAAACAAAUAUUACGUUGCCACCUUAUUCAAAAGGAAAAUUCAAGAUCUAGUGGGAAGAAGGUUAAAAAUUGAAAAAAGAAGAAAAGCAGUCUAAGAUGGAGGCUUCUUCCUUUUUAGAGAGAGAUUGGAAAAGGGGUAAAAGGGAUGACCCAAAAGUAGAAGAGAAUAUAAUACUAGUAAGUAGUAAGCUGAUUUUAUAAGUUGAAAAAAAGAAAAACCCCACCACUGUCCUUCACAGAAUGCAUUAAUUCCCGAAACCCCUAAUCUUUUGAAAAGCCACAAGCGACAAAUUCCCUACUUAUGCUUAGGGUUUUAAUUUAAAGUUGCCAAGAUAAUGAUCUUUUUGUGAUUCUAAAGUAACAACAUCUUUAAGGUUUAAAGAAGAGAUGCUUAUCUAUGUGUUUUUUUUUUCCCUGAAUGUGUUUUAGCUUUUACUUUUUUGAUUUAUUUGUUUUUGAAAACUUAUACCACAACUUUCCAAUGCUUUCCAAAGAUGAGAAUGUUGGGUUUACGAAAAUCAAAGAAAGAAAAGUUAUUCUUUUGCAAAACGCAUCACAAAGCAUAAAAAGUAGUGCUCUUUUGAUAUUUCUUAGGGAAGAUUUGCUUUUCCCUUCUAAAGUGGAAAAGUUGCCUCUCCUUUGCACAACCCUUACGUUAUGGAUCAUACCUUAAUCUUACUUUGUGCAUUCCCAACAUUCCUUUACAUUUCAUACAACUUGUAUAAUUAAUGCACAAUCAUUUUCCUUUUUAAUUGCACUCUCUCUCUCUCUCUCUCCCCCUCUCCCCCUUAACCUUAAUUAAAUCUUUAAUACAGUCUCCAAAGACCCUUAUUGCCAGUUCUCGCGAAUUAACUUAAUUAAAGAGAAUUAUUGUGGGCAAAAAAGCUAGUACUUGGUUAACCAACCAUGACAAUUGAAAAUAAUGAAGAAAAAUGAAUGAGACAGCUGGAAACUCAAUACCCAUAAGUUACUUUGUGUGAGACAAAAGGCCAAAUGGAAUUUGAAGAAAGUCGAAAGUAUGUUCAGCAUUAAUACCACCGCUUUAUUCUUCAUGUUACUAUUUGCUCAGCCUGAUUUCGAGCUGUUAGAUGCUCCGGACAUGAUACUUUUAUGUGACGACGAGUACAUGAAGCAUUUAUUUUAAGCCGACCAUUUUCAAUGGCUUCAGCUGCUAUUAUUUAAUGCCACAUGAAUCUUAGUUUCUGACAUCCUCCCAAACCCAAUCAUGGUAUAUAACUGUAAUGCAUGUAUAGAGAUUUGUUAUUUGAUACACUCUGAAUAAUGGGAACUCAGGUUUUACAGGCAGGUAAUGAUACACUUUGGCAUUUUUUUUAAUCGUGAGACCUAAUUUUGGAUUUUAUUUUUUUCUCUCCAGAAACAAAUAUCUUAAGAAUAUUGAACACCAAUAAAACAAAUUAAAAAUACAAUUAAAACUAAAAUACUGAAAAAUUAAAUACAAUUAAAAUAAAAAACUUAAAUUUUUUAAAAAUAAAAUGUUAACUUUUAUUCAUUUCCUAUUCUUGAUAUUUAUAUUUUUAAUUAAACGAAGUGAAAGUUAAUAUUUUAUUUUUAUUUUUAAAAUUUUUAAGUUUUUUAAAAUAUCUUAUUUUAUUGUUGAUGUUAAUGAACAAAAAUUUUAAUCGAUUUUAUUAAAAAAGAUAAGAAGAUGAAGAAAUUUAUAUAAUAUAAAAUAUAAAAUCAUUAUUAAUUAGAAUAUUAGAAAAAAAUUUAUUUAUCACUUGAGAAUGUUAUAGAAAAUUUUCAUAAUGAUUUGUACCUCAUAUUAUAUAAUAAAAAUUUAUAAAAUAUUUAUUUAUAAGAUACUUUUAUUAAUUUAAAAUGAUAAAUUAAUGUUUUGAUAAUUUUAUUUAGUAUAAUGGUAAGAGGUCAUUUCAUGAAAUGAUUAUCUAAUCUAUAAAAAAAUGUAUGUAUUUUAAAAUAAUUUUAAAUGGAUGAAGAUAAAACUUAUUUAUAAAAUUUGAAAUUCUUUUUUAUAUAUAUAUAUAUAUUUUUUAAAUUAGUGAAUUAUAACCCACUUUUUUCUCUUUUGUUGUAGCAGUGCAUGUAUGCACUAUUACGUGCCAUCCUAUUGGGAGUGGCACAUGGUGGCACAUGAGAGUUCAUCCAUCUUAAUACCACCCCAAGGGAUCUAAUUAACUGUAAGACAUUAAAUGUGAUUAGAAUCAUAUUAUUAUUAUUUUUAAGUAGGGGUCAACCUCGAGUAUAGAAAAAACACCACUAAAGAAGCUCGACUUAAAGGAUGGAUAAAAUAAGUUAAUGGCUCAACUCCACGUUUAACCAUGAAAGCACCGAACUAUAAAAACUUUACUAUGAUCAUCAUACAAAUGGUCAAAGUGUUAAAACGAAACAUAAUAAAGUUAUUAAAAGCGUCAAGUAAUUGAUACCAUUAUUAUAUUAUCUUUCCAUAAUCUAUGCACUAAGCUAGGAGCGAUAAAUAUAAGAUGAGACACCCCCACUCUACUUCCUAUUGUGUCUCUUUGCUUCGCAAUUGGCACUUUAAUGACAUUAAAAUGGGGCGAAACUCUUUUUUGUUUUUAUUAUUAUUAUUUAUUUUUUGUUUUUAAGAUCAUUAAUGUAAAUAUUCUCAUUAUAUCUCUUUAUGUAUUUAUUUCUUUUCUUUCAGAUGAAAAGGAUAAAUGAGGCAAAUAUGUUUUAUAUUGUGUAUAUCCAUUCCUAUGUAACCAUUUCCUUUUUUUUUUUGCUUUUUUUUUUUUUAUUUUUUUUCAAAUUUGGGAUAAUGUUUAGUUCUCUAAUUUUUUUUUUCAAUUUUUGAAAAAUGUUUAGCAAACAAGGUCCCCCUCUUAAAGUCUCAACCCAUUAUAUCAUUCAAUAACCUUUUUUUUCCUUCAAAUUUAUAGGCUUUCAUCAAAAUUUUAACCAAAAAAAUUAUGAAUUUUAUGAAAUUCAUAAAAAUCAAAAUCAAAAUGAAAGGGGGCUUAAGGGAUCAUCAACUUCCAAUUUCUAACAAGAAAAGACUUAGAAAUUUUUAAAUCUAUGAACAUAAAAAAGAAAGGAAAAGAAGAGUAAAGAGAAAGAGAAAAGAGGAAAGAGGCAGGAAAAGGAAAAGAAUUAGGAUUUGAUAGGUAGAAGACCAUGAAAAGCAUUUUUACUUUUACUCAUAUCAUAAAAAAUUCCUAUAUCUAGCAACUUUUUUGAUUUUAUAUUUUAUGGAGACAAAUUAUUACUAAUUUCAUAAUUAAAAGGGUUGGUGAAAAUAAAACUUAAUCAUGUUUAAGAAAAUAAAUAAUAAAGCGCCAAAUUCAAUUUUUUGAUGGGAUAAUUGUUUAAUUUAUUAUAAUAGCUCUGAUUACUCUACCAUAAGAAUUCACGCCAUAAUCCAAAGUAGUGAAAUCUAUUAUUUUGAUUGAUAUUUGACCUUGUGACUCAAGAUAAUGUUUAAAAUAUCCUUCUAGUCGGAUAAAAUGAAGAUGGUUGAGACUAAGAUGGCACAAGGGUAGGUUUGUUAUGUGUCGCUGAUUUUAUCUCAUUUAUUUAAAUUUAUUUUUAUUUUCAUCUUAUUAAAAAAUUUAAACAAGAUGGAGUUGCCUGGUCCCAUUUAAUUUAAAUUCUUUUAAUUACAUUAAAAAAUAUUAUGAUUUUUUAUAAUUUUAAAUAAGCAGUUUUUUAUUAUAAUAUGAGAUAAAAAUGGAAAUAAAAAUUAAAUUUAAAAUAUAUUUUUUAAUUUAAUUAUAUAUAAUAAGGGGAGAUAGGACAAGGCAUGACAUGAAGGUUUCCAAAAAAUUAAAAACUCACUUAUAACUCAUUCCUUUUCAUCCCAAACCUGUCCUUGAGAUGAGGUAGUACCCUAUUACCAUCCUAGUUGGGGCUUAUAUAUGUUUUGUUUUUUUUUUUUCCUCAAAAAUUGAUUCAAAGAGUAAUGAAAGAGUAUAAUGUCUUGUUGGAAGUUGGAACCAGGCUCUUUUACAGAGAAGAUGAUUUUUUUUUUGGUUAUAUGCUAACUCAGAGUAAUAAAAAUCACCUUUUUCAAAAUCUUUGAAAUAAGAUGAUAAACAUGAUAGUAAUAUAAAUGAAAAAAAAAAAUACUAAUUUAAACUAACAAAAUAAUAAGAUAUAACUAUUGAAUCAUGGAUAAAUUUAAAUAAUAAAAUUAUAUUGCAUUCUAGGAUACAUAUUAUUUAAGUAUAUAUAAAAGUUAUAAAUAUCAAUACGUUUAUAUUUUAUUUUAUCUUUACCAUGAUUUUAUCUUUUAAUAUUAAUUCAAAGAUAAAUUAAAGAUAAAACAUUUUGAAAUUUCUAAAUUAUUUAUAUAAAUUAUAAAUUUAUGAUAUCAUGUUGAUAUCAUAAUACAACCCUAAUUAUACUAUGGAUCCAACUAGUAAAUCAUGACAUGAUAAUUUUUUCAAUUUAAUAAUUAAUCCAAUCAUGAAUAAAUUACUUAAAACAUUUACACUUAAAUUAUUUUUUAAAAGUCCAACUUAUUGUCUCUCCUCACAUGUCAGCUAGUCACUUCUUACUCUAGCAUGAAUAUAGAGAAAGGUAAACCUAAAAUAUAUCUGGAUCAAAGAAAGCGUAUUAGUCUUUAUUAAUUGGAAUCCAACGAUAUGUACUUAUUUUGAAUUAUUUCAAAACAAAGGCAAUGCUAAUUAUUUGUUGACUUUUACGAUGCUAAUUAUUGUCUUACAUGCCUUCUACAUUCAAGGGAACUUCCUUAUAUAUUAAGUAUAAAUUCUUUAUACAUGACAUGCAAAACCAAAUUUGAAUGUGAUAUGGAAGUAUACACAUAAAUAUUGUUUUUCUUAUCUACUUCUACAUAGGAAUAACCUUACAAAGGAAAUAGACCAUGUAACGACCCACUUACAAUCGUGUAGAUAUUGUCCAUUUUGGGCCCAAAGGGACCAUCACGGCUUUAAAACGUAUCUAUAGGGUUAGUGUUAGAAACUUUUCCCCUAUCCGAUGUGUGAUGUCACAAACAACCCCCCCCCCCA
rnacentral:lncRNA from 1 species